AAAUAAGUAUACGAAAUAUAGUAUAAUAAUAUGAAAAAAAAUGAUUUAUGAGUUGAAUAUCUAAUUUUUUCAGCCUUAUAUGUUUUUUCUUCCGCCUUCAAUCUCUACAUUAUUCAUUUUUAUUUAUGCAGUCAAAAAUAAAUAAAUUAUAUAGAUAAAUAUUGGAUUAAACUAUCCAAUCAUAUAUAACUAAAAUUAAAAUUUUAUAUGAAUAAUAAUUUUUUAUUUUAAAAAUAUUAUGUAUAUUUUCUCAAGCAUAUAAUUAAUAGCAAGGUAAGCAAUGACGGACAUAUGCUGUUACUUGGUAACUUGGAGGGCUUCCGGCUUGGCUACUUAGGGUGAGAGACAGAAAAAGAAAAAGAGAGAAACAUAUUGAAAAUUUAGAGCUCUGUGAAAAAAAGAAAGAAAGGAAAAAUGUAUAGAUUUAGUGAAAUUUUGCUCUUUUAUUUGUCUAUUAGAUUUGUUUUUAUGGGCCAACAACAUUUGCCCAAUUUUAACUAAACUGAGAUUAUUUACUCAGCCUAUAUAUAAUUAAAAUAUAUUAUAUUUAUAUAUUUUUUAAUUAAUAUAUAUAUAGUGUAGAACUACUAUGCUAUCGAAAAUAUAGAGGAUUUGAUGUUUUUGAAUUUUUGACCUUUUGGUUAAGAAUUAUAUGCAAAAUUAUAUGGUUGGGAUGAUUGCGGUCCCCCCUAGGAUUAAAUAAUACCCUUAGGAUUGAGUGGUCCCUACAAGGUAAUAAUAGUAUUAAUCCAAAGAUAAGAAAUGAUUAAAGGGGUUGAUCUAAGAAUCAAAAAAUCAAAAGCACCAGAUCUUCUAUACUUUCGAUAGCAUAGUAGUUCUACUAUAUAUAUAUAUAUAUAUUCGAGCUUUUCGAACUUUUCGAGCCUAAUUCGAACGAGCCGAGUAAUGCUCAAGCUCGGCUUGAAAUGAAUUUCGAGCCUUGUUUUUUGUUCAAGCUCGGCUCAUUUAAUUUCGAGUCGAGCUCGAACGAGCCAAAUAUCGAGUCGAACACGAGUCGAACGCGAGCCGGCUCGCUCAUUUGCCAGCCCUACAAAUAAACCUACUAUUAUGUUACAAAACAGUUUUCAAUUUCAGAAAAAUAACAGUAAGAUAUUCUAUAUUUUAUUCAGAAAAUUUACUAUAUAUAUAUAUAUAUAUAUAUAUAUAUAUAGAGAGAGAGAGAGAGAGAGAGAGAGAGAGAGAGAGAGUUGAGCUAGAAUACUCCCAAAAGCAACAAGGGAGUGGUGCUUUUGAGUUUUAGCCAUUGGAUGAAGAGAUAUAGGGUUGAGAUGAUGGUGGUAGGUGGUAAUAGAUGGUGGUUGGUGAAAUAGUGUUUGAUCCAAAAGCUAUUAGUAAUCAAAGAAAAAUCCAAGGGUUAGAAAUCUAGAAGUACCAAAGGCUUGGUGCUUCUAAAAGUAUUCUAGCUCAAUCUUAUAUAUAUAUAUAUAUAUAUAUAUAUAUAUAGAGUCCGGCUACUAUACUAUCAAUAGUACCAAGCCAUUGGUACUAUUGAGUUUUCUACCGUUAGAUCUACCCUUUGAUCAUUUCCGCCCGUUAAAUUAUACUAUUAAACCAACCACCCACUCAACCCUAGGGAACCACUAUCAAUUUAACCGGGGACCACUAUCAUCCUAAUCGCACAUCUUUUCAUCCAACGGCCAAAAACUCAAUAGUACCAAGGACUUGGUACUAUUGAUAGUAUAGUAGCAUAAUUCUAUAUAUAUAUAUAUAUAUAUAUAUAUAUAUAUAUAUAUAUAUAUAUAUAUAGUAAGUCUCCUGUACUUUCAAAAGUACAGAGACCUCCGUGCUUGUAAGUUAUUUUCGAUUAUAGAAAAUCCGAUUCGACGAUCGACUCUGUUAAAUAUAAUCUACCUUAUUGGAACUAUUUAAAAACCAAAUUUUAUAAUUUUUUGACAUCAUUUACCAAGCGAUCAAAAGGUCUCAAAAAUGACUAUUUUAACGACCGAUGUGGCACGUUUUUAAGUUCAAUGGUGUAGAAGUAUCCAAAUUAGAUGAAAAUUUUAUAGAAAAUUCUACUUAACAUUAAUAGCAAGACCAAUACUUUCGAUUUGAAAUUUGAGUCCUUUAUCACUGUUUUUUAUGAGAUUUUUAUUUUCAACCAUUCAUUUUGAGGCUACUCGUUUACUAGACAUACGAAGUCAAAAAUUUAUGAAAUUUGGUUUCUAGGUAGUUCUAAUAGCGUAGAUCAUGUCUAACGGAACCGAUCGUCGAAUCAAAUGUCCCAUUAUUGAAAACAAUUUACAAGUACGAAGGCUUCCGUACUUUCGAAAGCAUAGGAGCCUAGCUCUCUCUCUCUAUAUAUAUAUAUAUAUAGAGAGAGAGAGAGAGAGAGAGAGAGAGAGAGAGUUGAGCUAGAAUACUAUCGAUAGCAAACGGGCUCUAUUGCCACCUAUUUGUUUUUUAUGAUAGAGCCUCCAAAUCGACGAUCGGCACCGUUGAACAUGAUCUAUACCACUUGAAGUAUUUAGAAAUCAAAUUUCAAAUCUUUUCGACAUCAUUUGCCUAAUGAUCAAAAGGUUUCAAAUUUUAUAAUUUUAAUGGUCGAUAUAAUACAUUUUCUCGUUUAACGUCGUAAAGAUAUCCAAAUCAAUUAAAUUUUUGUUAGAAAAUUCUUUAAACUAUUUAAAACAAGAUCUAUACUCUUGAUCUUGAUUACAAGACUCCUAUCAUAAGUUUUUAAAGAAUAUUCAUUUUCAACCAUUCAUUUUUGUGUCCACUCGAUGGAUAAGAGAAUAAUAUCGAAAAUGUAUAAAAUUUGAUUUCUAAACAUCUCAAGUGGUAUAGAUCAUGUUCAACGGUGCCGAUCAUCGAUUUGGAUGCUCCAUCAUUGAAAACAAAUGGGUGGCAACGGAGCUCGUUUGCUAUCGAUAGUAUUCUAGCUCAACUAUAUAUAUGUGUAGUCCGGCUACUAUACUCUUAUGAGUAUAGUCUUCUUUGUACUCAUAAGUUUUUGACCGUCCUAAUCGGAAACCACUAUCAUCCUUAACGCACAUCUCUUCAUUUAAUGGUUAGAAACUUAUGAGUACAAAAGGGGACUAUACCCAUAAGAGUAUAGUAGCACUAGUAGCACAAGCAUAUAUAUAUAUAUAUAUAAUACUAUAAAUAAUAUAUAUAUAUAUAUAUAUAAAAAAAAUUGGUGCUGCGUAGAUUUUUAGCCUAUUGGAUUAAAGAAUAAUGCAGUUAGGAUCGCUGUGGGCGGCCGCCUAGGGUUGAGUGGUAGUUGGCUUUAAUAGUUAUCAUCUAAUGGUUGAAAAUGGCGAAGAAGUAAAUCUAACGUAAAAAACUCACACACCAAGUGUUUGGUGUUUUACAAGGACGGCAUAGCUGACUAUAUAUAUAUUAAAUAUAUAUAAUAAUAUAUAUAUAUAUUGAUUUAUAAAAAAGAAAUAUUUUAAUUACUAUAAUAAAAGAAACAGAAGGAAUAAAUUAAUUUCGCUUCUAGAUUGUUGAAAAUCUUUCUCAUCUUUUAUUAAAAUAUUCUUUAAAAACAAGUAGAAAGUUUAAUACCAAUUUUAGAAAAAUUCCGAGAAAGAAAUUAAAUGGCAAAUACUGUAAAGAAAAGGAUUAGAAAAGGCAUGUGGAUCGAGGCAUGUAGAGGCUUUUCGGCAAUUAUUUCGAGCGAUACAACAACCACGUUCCACCCCGUCGGCACGCUUUCAAGAUAGCGCAAGACAAACCCAAUGAGCUUCAAAUCUAGCAAAAGAUCAAUGGCGAGAAAAUAAGAAAAGGCGAGGUAGAUAAGGUUUUGCUCUUAGAUAUGCCUAGGUUCUUGUUGAACUCAUGCAACCUCAUCCAAUAUAUAUAACUAAGGCAAGAAUCUUGAUUCAACGCGUUAAAUCCGUGUAGAACAAGAUAAGUCUAAGAUUAUACGGGAUACUGAUUAGGAUUAGGAGAAAACAAGAAAAGACGAGGUAGAUAGGGUUUCCAAUAUAUAUAUAACCGAGGCAAGAAUUUUGCUUCAACGCUUUAAAUCCGUGUAGAACAAGAUAAGCCUAAAAUUAUACGGAAUACGGAUUAGGAUAAAAAUAAACCCGAAAAAAUAAAAAUAAAAUAAAAUAAACCGAGUGUAUAAACCGCGCACACGCGUAGCUGCACGCCCGGCCCGGCUCGUGCUCGUGCCGUGCAUGCGUGUGUACGUUUAAACGAGAAUAUAACUCUCAUAUUCUCCCAAGCAACUAGCUUGAAAAUAAAGAAAUAUAUAAAUACCAACAACACCUUUUCGUUUCCAAUGUGUGACUAAACCUCUCAUAUGAAAACUUUAGUUAGGCUCCCAGGCAAGGCUCAUUAAGUAUUGAAUUGCCCAAGAGGCCUAACAAAUUUUAAAUCACCAAAAAUCUAAUAAAAUCCAAUAAUUGGUGACCUGUACAGUGGCCCACUAUUCGCGAGGCAUUUCCAACACACGUCUUCCUUAUUUUCCACCGGCUUCUUGUACACCGAUGGAACUUCCUGCCUAGACGACAAGGGUGCCUCGCACAUCAAGACUUUGGGGGCUUGCCGCAAAUUUCUAGUGUGAAUUGCUUCUUUUUCACCUUUAAAAGGCACUAUUUCAAGAAACAAAAUUGGAAACCUUGAAAACCGAUAGGAAAAAGAAAAAAAGCAUAUAAGAAUUUCAGUAUUCAGAAAACAAUAUUAUAAAACCAUGAAGGGCACAACUAAAAAGCUCCAAUCUCCUUUUCGGUUAGUCUAGGAAAAGAAUUUACAUCUUUCUUGCGGAAAAUUACCAAAUAAAAUGUUGGUUAAGACAACCUUGCUUGAUCAAAAACGACCAUCAACAAGCCCUGCAAUUUCACGAGGCCCGUGAAUACACCACAACGUGAAACCGAGUGACAACAUAACUUCUCACAAUAAGCUCACGGACUGCCGAUAGUGGAACAUAGCUAAAACACAACAUCACAUUCCAUUUGCAUACCACACAAUCAUGGCUCGCUUGUUGACUAAAUCAUCAGUCUUCUGGCGCUUUGCGACAUGCGUAUCAUUAACUUCUUGCGCCAAUGCUGCUACAUUUUUCCUCUGCACUGUUAGGAAAGCCGGUGAGAAUCUUUGGGCCCAAGAGAGAGGAGUGCUUGCUGGUGAUUUAGCGUCAGGUCCUAACCUUCGAGACCUAAUCUCUUCACCUUCUUGGCUUUGGCUUUGCUCAAAGAUACAACCACCUGGGCAAAAUUUGCCUGCCAUGGUCAUACACCCACCAAAAAAAAGAAAAAUCAUUUUCCAAAAUAGUCUCAAACAAACAGGAACAAAAAAGAAGAGCGUAAUGAAGAUUUUCAGAUCAGAACAUACUUGCAGCUGGAAAGGAUCACUGUCCCUGAAUGAUCUGGUGGCUGUGCUCUAACCGGAUGGCUUUUAACCUACAAAAAACAUGAAAUUAAUGAGAGAAAAUCAUAGUAUAAUGCUAUCCACCAAUUAUAUCAGAAAAUGGAAAGAAAGAAGUUUUUCUCUUCCUAGUUUAACCAAUUCCCAGCAAGACAAAUGGAAAGAAUAGAGGAAGAGAGUUUAGUACCCAGCAGCGCAUUAUGUCCCAAAUGACAUCAGAGGGAGAAUCAGAUUUGAACCAAGUGGAUUCACAUGGCUGCCUAAGAUGCGAUAACCAGCAUUUACCACAGCAGAGCGGAAUAUAACUGCAGAAGGGGAUGUACACUUCAAAGUCGCGCAUAAGUUCUGGCGACUGGAAAAGAGAGGAACAUCGUGUAACUCCCGUAAAUCAAUAUAGUACCAUAUUAAAAGCGCAGAUAUUUCAGGUGGGAGAAAGGUAAAUACCGAAAUAAAUAAUGGUUCUAACAAUUGCUAUUUCAAUGUUUACCUCACAAUCACAAAAUAAGAAAAGCAUAAUCAUAUGCGAGACAGUUUGGCAGCCACGUGGAGCACUGUUUACAUUACUACGCAUUUUUUUGGCAGGGAAAAAAAGAACAGGCAUUUACAAAUAUAUCCCAGCAAAAUCAUCUAUCGAUAUAUAUUCUUUGUAUGAAAAAGGGUAUAGAUGUAAGCAAUUAAGCUUUUAUAUGGCCUACUAGAAUACACACAUAGAUACAGUGACAGAUGUACAUAUGUCCAUGAAAAAACAAUAAAUCCAUGCUCGUAGAGUUAUCCCUGAUGAAUGACAAUAAGGACAAUACCUAUAAUAUCAUCGUCAGUACAGAAGUUAUCUUGUCAUAUGCAGGAUUUCUUUGUUUCAUGGCUUCAACAUUUGAUAAAAUUAGAAAGCACCCAUUCUCCGUCAUGCAUAGGAGCUGACCAGAUUGGACUGUCCAUGUUGAAGUUUCUUCCCACAAUGAGUGCACUCUUUGAGGAACAACAGGACCAAAACCCGAAGCAGAAUUCACACUAUUAUUCUUCACAAAUGAAUAAAAAAUAAAGAAAUUAAAACAUUUAAGUGGACACCAAUGUUAACAGAUAUGCUAAGCAAUUACCAUACAUGGAAGAUGAAUCACUUUAGUUAAAACACUAUGUUAGAAACAAUCCUUUCAUGCCGUUGGAGAUGAAAUGAAUCACAACCAACACACUGUAUACAUAUGAGAGUUUCAGGGGAGCGUUCUUUGUUUAGCAUGCAAAGCCGUACAGAAUUCAACUUGGAAAACAACGGUUGAUCAGCAUGCAGCACACAGAAUUAAAACUAGAGACCAUAAGAAAAAGACUUAAGUAUAGUUUCUUAACAAAAAGAAUAGUUUAUUCUACAAAACCAGGAAAGUGAAUAGAGCAAACUUACGUGUAUAUUUGCACAAAAUCAUGGAUGUAGAAAUCCAUAUGUAGGAAGAGAUUGGGAACAAUAUAAUGCUUACACCAAUUUGCAUGGCCUGCAUCAGAGAAAUGAACAGAAUAUUCUUUUCUUUCGAAAUUUGUGAUGCAAACCGAGAGGUUGCCAAAAUUGAAUUUUCAAGUUUGCUUUUGUUUAAAGAUAUUUCUUGAAAUAAACUAGGUUCAAUUUAUCGAUUCCGGCGAACUUUACUAUAAUUAAAGUAAGGAAGCAAAAAUUUCAGCAAGACGAAAAAUUAAAAUCGAAUUGAAGCAAUACUAAGAUGAUGAUAAACCUUCGAUAUAUGAGAUAAUAAUAACCAACUGAAAAUACAUAUAAUAGUUCCAAAAGGUGAAUUCGACUUUAUCGGACUUAAAGCUUUAGGUUUGGUUGUUUGGCAAAUAUGGUUGGUAAUGGUUGAAGGCUAGAUUGAAAGGGGAUAAUAGGAUAUCAGGAGAAGAGAGAUACAAAAAGUGCACCGUUCACACGAUUGCGGGGAAUCCACGAUCGACGAGGAGAGCGGUACACCACGGGUAGAACUUCGGCAACAGGAAAGAAGAAGAUGAGGUAGUAACUUGGAAGAAAAUGAGGGGUAGAAGUAGAAGCCGAUCUUGUCACGAGGAAGAAGCAACAACGAUCAAGUCGAGGAAGAAGACGAUCUCGGCGCAAGGAAGAAGUGUCAAUGAUCUCACCGGGAAGUAGAACACCAAGGGUAAGAGUGAGAGUAGAAUUUUCUAUUCAUCCAAAAUUAUCUCUUAAGGCUUCAAGAACCAUGUAUUUAUAGUGUUAAGAGCCCUCCGAUAAUAAAUUAUUGUCUUUUCGUUUUCAACACAACACGGUCACCCAAGAAUCAUGCAUAGAAAACGAAGCAAUUUUUAGGAAUUUCAAAGGUCUUUUUUUUUUUUGGAAUUCUAAAGGUCUUUUUGGGAUUGUUUCUUUGUUUAUUGGAGAAAAGGGUUUGAGUUAAGCCAAAUCAACUAAAACUAAAUGAUUUAAGUCCGAAUCAAACACGAACCUACAAAAUAAAAGAAAAUUGCAUUUGAAAAUAAAACGAGAUUUAUUUGCUGCAUCAAUUUGGCAGAUGCAAUAAAUGAAUCUAGUAUAGAUAAAACAGGAUGAUGAACUACCUCAAUAUUAGCGAGGAUAGAUUCUCACAACCUAUUUUACUACCAGGCUCUGAUAUUUGGUACCUAUUCCAGCUACCAUUGCAUCUGUACCAUCUUCAAGAUAUACACAACAAAUUUGAUUUUUAGAACCUCCAACUAAACAAUUUCUGCCUGCUUGCCCAAAGACUACUACUUGCUGCAGAAUCACUGCAUGCAAAUUCUUAAGUAAAAUUAGACCCCUCCUUGCAUGUCUAAAGAACAAUUCCUUUUUCUUAUCUUCAUGGUGAUCUCAUACAAUAUAUACUGCAAGUAUACCUUAAAAAUUUGUGAAUCUGCUUUAAAUCAACUUGAUGAACUAGCUUGUUCAAUAUUGCCUCAGUGGCUCAGCCCUUAGGUGAUUGCAAACCAAGUGACUUUUGCUUGUUUUGCAGAUUAUCGAUCUGAGUUACCAAAUAUUUUUCUACUUCAAUUUCAAGUACCUAGAUAAUUUGUUUAAAUCAAACCUCCUUUGUUAAGAGUCUUGGUAGAAAUCCAACGUUAUUAAGUAUCUCGACAAGAUCAAGCACUUUAUAGCUUAUGAAGUGAAAGUUAAAACGCUACCUUUCAGGACAUUCUUUCAUGUUUUUGGUCCCAUCAUGCAGAACUAUAAGCACACAUGAAGCUUGCCAUGACUUUCCAACUUUAUGCCCUUCCAUGUUUCUCACAUGGUCCCAUGUACUAGUAAGUACUGCACAUUCUUUUAUGUUAGAUGUGACUCGAAAUUGAUUAUCGACUCAAGUUUGGGUUUUCGACUCGCCGACAGCUUCGCGGUGCGACCAAUUUGGAAAACAAUUUUGUGAAGGGAAAAUGAAUAUCUGUGGUGAGUAGCGGAGGGCUCAGGCCUGUCGGCCCGAGCCCGUAUCCCAUAGCCCAUCGCUGACAUUCGCCAAGGGGUGCGGGGGGUGGAGCCCCCCGCGGUACGGAUCGGAUCCGAAACCCGUUAUAAAUUUUCUUUUUCGUUUUUUUUUGCCCUAGAGGCGUGAGAUCGUGGUUGGUUGUAAUCUGAAGAACAUUGUAUUCCCUUUCGUUUCGAUAGUGAAGUUCUCUCCUCCCUCGCCCGUGAUUUUUUCCCUGCAAAGGGUUUUCCACGUAAAUCUGUGUGUUAUCUUUAUUUUCUGCUUGUGGUUUGAGUGUUUCGUAUUCGCCAUUUUGUUUCCGUUUUGUGCGUUUGUCAUAGCACUUUAUUAUGAUAAAUCAUUAUUUAAAAUUUUUUCCUCCUUCGAUCAGGAAACUGAUAUGUUUUUUAUAUUGCAGGAUGAAAGAAAUCCUAGUAUUGUAAGCAAGAUGAUAAUUUAUAGAGCUAAGUGACCUCUCAGAUGACAGAUCACAGAGAAGCUACAGUAAUCCUUCAAUUGCGCAAUUGUGACAUUGUGUAUUUCAUGUUUCUUCUAUUUUGUAGGUCAAGGAAAUUAUUUCGAAGUACAGAUUAAAAUCAGAGAGAAACUAUAGAAGAAGUGCUGAUGAAAUUCCACAAAUCAGUAAACGCUGUCAUAUCUCUAGUAAGUAUGUGCAAAGUUCACAACAAGAUGCUGAUUUUUCAUAAACAUUUGCAAAGUUCACACACUGCAGAAAUCUUGAAUAAUAUAUUUUUAGCACCCUUCCGCAGCAAUGUAGUUAGUAUCCUAUUAGACUACAGAUGCAAACCCAUCUCCUAACUCUGCAGUUAAUAUAGCAUAACAACAGAUAGAGCCUCAAUCUACAUAUAAUAAGUAUAAAUACAAAUGUAUAGGCUUAUACACUUCUUUUCUGUGGUGUUUGAUGCAUUAAAUACGAUAUAUAGAGGAUAUAUAGUCAGCAACUCAAUAAAUGGUCAGUAACUAUAAAGAGAAUUUUGCCCCACUAUUUUCAAGUUCUACGAUUUUUUUUUUCAUACUGUUUAACUCAACUAUCUUGACUCGCAGAUGCAAUUCGAUCAUAUGUGAACUAGUUUUACGUUGAAUGACAAGGUGUGCUGUCAUGUUUCUUAUAUGUUCUUACGAUUCAGGUCGCCGUGCAUGCUAUAGCACUACGGCAGUCAAAUACGGAAGAAAAUUUGUUGAUAUUUUCCUUAAAGGUUUACUGAAAAGUACUCGGCAAGCUGUUCCAGAUGAUUUGUCAGAUCAUGCUGAUAAAAUAAUUCUAUUUGCAACCUUUGACUUCUUACAAUCACACUUUGAGGUGCACGCUUACAGUGUAAUCCAAAUGGUAAACGUGCCUUCCCUUAAUGCUUCUGCAGUAUCUUAUAAAUAUACUUUAUACCAGAAUUAAAGUACUCCGCAGGUCAAGUUCAGUAAGCACAAGAAUAAUACAAACUCUCUGUUCUAAGUAUUUCACAUGCCGCUUUGUGAUGAUUUAAUAGUUUUGGCUUUUAUACCUAUCUCCCUGCAAAAUCUUCUAAUAACUUAUAUACCCCCAUAAAAUCAGAUUUUUCAUAUGUAUAAACAUGAAAAUGCAGUCUCCUACAAAGUUGCCCUUAUUUUAAGUUCAGGAAUCGUCUGAUUCAUUGGGGAAGUUUGCAUUGUACUACAGUACUUUUUGUAGUCUCAUAUCUAUGAGGACGAGCAUAUGUUUGUUUGAAAAUCCUUGUUUUUCGAAGUGCAUAUAUGUAAUUCAGAUUUUGCUGGGGACAUUCAUUUAAUAGAUUCUUUUGUAGGGGUGUGAUCAAGAAUUUAAGUGCCGUGGCACGGGGUCGUGCCGAAAACUUACCGGCACGGUACGGCACGAUGCGUGUCGAGCCAUGCCGAUGCGUGCUGAUAAAAAAAAAAUCUUGUGUGCCGACACAUAAUAGCAUGAAAUAUUUAUUUUCUUUAGCAACAAAAUAUUCUAACUAUUUAUUAUGUCUUUUUAUCGCAUCUUUUAAACUUUAUUGAGAAAAUUACUUACUAAUUUAAAGAAUAGAGAGUUUUAAGCUGUGCCGUCGGCACAGGGUCUGUAUCGUGCCGGUAUCUUGUUGACACGGGACGGCACGGUACGGCACGGUGGAUAUGUCCCGUGCCAACAGGCACUUAAAACCUUGGGCAAAUAUUUAAGUGUCGUAGCACGGGGUCGUGCCGGAAACUUGCCAGCACGGUGCAUGCAGAGCCGUGGCGAUACGUGCUGGUCAAAAAAAUUCUUGUGUGCCGACACAUAAUAACAUGAAAUAUUUAUUUUCUUUAGCAACAAAAUAUUCUAACUAUUUAUUAUGUCUUUUUAUCACAUCUUUUGAACUUUAUUGAGGAAAUUACUUACUAAUUUAAAGAAUAGAGGGUUUUGAAUUAUGCCAUCGGCAUGGGAUCUGUAUCAUGCCGGUAUCUUGUUGGCACGGUAUGGCACGAUAGAUACGGCCCGUGCCGACGGGCACUUAAAACCUUGACCUUGGGUGUGAUAUAUGUCCGUAAAUAUCCCUUGAUAUCUUUUGCCUCUUCACUUCAAUACUUUGAAUCCUCGAAGGGAUCAAAAGGAACAAUGAUCACAAGCAAGAUUCUGGGUACAAAGAGGUCCAUGAAGUGUCUCUUGUUCCACGUCGAAACUCUUCUCCACAAUACGUCUAGCAGCAGUACCUCUUGGAUGGGUAAUCUACAAAACUAUAGCCUUGAGGUGGUUUAAUUAUUUAUUUAUUUUUUUAUGCUAUAUAUCGCAGGCCGAGUUGCUUUUCUAUAUGAUCCCUAAUUUAUUGCAACUUUUAAACUAUAUAAAUAGUGCAUCGAUUCUUCUUUUUAUCUCCUUUGCCACGGGAAAUCUUAAGGACAAAAACUUGUAUGGUCAGGUGGUGAGUUCACAAGUGUACAACACUGGAGAUAAUGACGAAGCAGAAGAUCAAAUGAAGGCCGAUCCUAAGGUCUGUGGUGAUAACAACAACCAGGGAGGUGACGAUAACUGAAAGAAAUUAUGUUUGCUGCAACAUCAUAUUGCAUAUCUAUUUCUUCUGCAUAAAAUAUGCUCCUUCAUAGGAAAUUCAACCUUGUAAGCUUUUCACUUUGGUACGUUUGCUCCUACAGAUUAGCUAAUAAGCAUCAAUAGUAUCUACUCUCUUGCACAGGAAAAUUCAACCACAAAAGAUGCCUAUAUGCAUGAGAUGGAUUAGAUCACCUCGCAUCGUAUUUUUAUUCUAUCUGCUAUAUCAUAGCAGCGUGUGUUUCCCUAAAACAGGAUUCGAUUAUAUGUAAGAUAUGUUAUAUCUUAGCAGCGUGUGUUUUCCUAAAGCAGCAUUCGAUUAUAUGUAAGAUUGCUUCCAGACCAGCUCCUAAAAGAUCAAUCUUCCACGUAUAUUUGAGAUUGCCAACUACAUACUCUUCUGGCUCUGAGGUGUUAAGAUCGUGCCAGCUGUUUCAUUUCGCCAUCCCAACCUCUUUUAACUAAUUGUGUUGUUACGAUAAGGUAUUGCAGGUAAAAACAUAUGGUUUACUUUAAGAAUGUUUAAUGAAACUCAAACAAAGGAACUUCAUCUGACAAAAAGAAAGCAAAAGCAAUCAAACAUUGCAAUAACUGCUUGAUGUACUACAAUAAUAAGUUAUGAUACCUGACAUGCUAAUAAUAACCCAUCGCAUGAUCUUUCAGGUAUGCUUAGCACAUCCACCAGGCACAACUUGCUCGGUUGAAUGAUUGAGUUGAAAUUCGACCAGGUGCAAACUUGAUCCUCUUAUUAUCCAUUCUCCAAUAAGUGGAUGCGCCUUUGAAGAAUCAAAGGUGGAUCCCAUUUUGAUGAUGCUCUGCACCUUUGUAACUCGAGCACAGAUCGUUCAGUCCAGAUGAAAAAAAGGGGGGCGGAAUUGUCACGGUUUCUGUGCUCAUUACGGCUUUCAAUAUCAAUCCUCUAUGAAGACAAAACACUUCACGUCCUACUAGAGUAGCUAAGAUCAUUUCCAUCUUCAUCGUCACUCUCCUCAUCCUCCGAAUAAAUGCGAGAACCAGGCGACAACUCUUCUUCCCCUUCCUCAUCAUCAUCUUCAUCAUCAUCAUCAUCAUCAUAAUCCUCAUCCUCUUCAUCUUUAUCACCAACUCCGCCAUCAGCUCCAGCAACCGGUGCGGCGACCCUCCGUGAUUUCUGAUCCUUCUUCUUGCCAGCAGCCUCCUUGCCCAUAUGCAUGAGAUGAAUGUACUGAUACCGCAACCCCAUCACGGGAUGCUUCUCCACCAGGAGAUCCCUACGGUAGGCCUCUCUGAGCACCACGGUCUGCGUCCUGAGCUUAUUCGAUACGUAGAAUAUCCCCGGGUGGUGGGCGAUCACCUUCCGGAAUCCCGGCGGAAGCCCUAGAUGCUCUCCCAAUAGAACCAAGUUCUCCUUCUCGGUCUUCUUGCUAAUCAGCAAGCUGAGCACCUCAUGGAGCACCCCGACCGUCCAUUUCUCCGCGAGGUCGCUCUUCGGGGGGAGGUGGGAGGCGUUCUCGUAGGGGGAGAUGUAGGGGAGCUUCUGCCACUCGUCGAGCCAAUUCCGGACCUUCUUCUCGAGGUCAAAGCCGCGGGAGAAGUGGAGGGGGAAGGGGAGGGGGGCGCCCUUGGUGUAGCCCCCCGUGCGGGCGGCGUAGCGCUCCAUGGCAGAGACGGCGAGGUCGCGGCUGUAGCAGACGAGCUCGAGGUCGAGGGCGUUGGCGUUGGCGCGGGCGGGGGCGAGGCGGAAGAAGUCGGGGUAGUCGGGGAGGAGGGAGCGGGGGAAGUCGCGGGGGAGGCCGAGGUCCCAGCGGAGGCGGUGGAUGACGGGGUGGGGACGAGAGGAGGACGACGACGACGAGGGGAGGUCUUCGAGGAAGGCGGAGGGGAAGAGGCGGAUGAAGCGGAUGGCGCGGAAGGGGAGGCGGAGAUCGGAGCGGCGCGCGGCGACGGAGGAGAGGGGGAGGGACGGAGACGGAGAAGGAGAAGGAGAGGAGGAUGCGGCGGAGAGGAGGAGGAGGUCUUUGAGGGCGUGGAAGGGUUGGAGGUGCUUUUCCUUCUCCACGGCGUGGUCGAGGGCGCGGUCCCGCACCCACUUCACGCGGGCGUCGACGAAGGUGCGGAUUUGGUCACCGUAGUGGUGGGACGGGAGGAGGAGGCGGCGGCGGUGAAGAGGGAGAGUGGGCGGCAUUGGAAGAGAUCGAGGGAGGACUGGAUCGAGGGGUUUACUUGUGGGGGGUUUUACGUGGGCUUUAGACUUUGCAAGUGGUCUUCGGGGAAACUGCUGCUUGUUCUAAUGUCCCGAGCCAACGACCAGCAGCGUUGCAGCCUUGCAGGUAGGGGUGUAAACGAGACGAACACGAGCGGGCUGGGUUGGCUUUUGUUCGGCUCGUUUAUUAAACGAGUAGAACACGAAUUAGCUUGUUAAAGUAUCGAGCCGAAAAAUUUAGCUCGUGUUCAACUCGUUUAUUAACGAGCCGAAUACCAGCUGGCUCACGAGCUGGCCAACGAACAAUAAAUUAAAAAAAAUUAGAUUAAAUAUAUAUAAAAAAUAAAUUUAUAAAAUCUUAUCCAUUAGACUUUGAUCUAAUAAUUGAAACUUUACAUGUAUUUUUUAAUAAUUAAGCUCGCAUUUAUAUUUUUAUUUUGCUAAAAAUUAAAUAAUAAAAACAUAUAUUAUAUAUAAUUAUUUAUUUAUAUAUAAAAAUAUAAAUUAAAUAAAUUAUAUAACUAUAAAAUAGGAAAACUCUAGCCAGACUACUUUAGAAAGGUGUACAUCCUACACCCGUAUGAUCCAACGGCUGAUAUUAGGGCACUAGCACAGUAGUAGCAGCUAACUUCACUCCCCUUUUUAUUUCUUCCUAAAGCUAUACCCUUCUAGUACACAUCUCUCUCUCUCUCUCCCGCACACCUUAUUCUCGCUCUCUCCGUUUCUCGCUCUCUCUCUCACUCCCUCGCCUCUCUCUUGAUCUCGCGCUCUUCCCUCUCUCUUUCUCUCGCUCUCACUGGCAGGGCACUCAACUCCAUCGGGCAAAAGUUAGGCAGCACUCGUUCCACACAUCUCGUGUCCAAAGCCGUCUCGAAGGUGUCUCUCGCCCUCGCCUCUCUCCAUUGGUAGGAGAUUGCCUCUCAAUUGCUCCCCUAUUCAUCCCAGUACCUGUCACUCAUUCCUGCACUCAUGUGCGUCCAAAAUUGAAAACGAUUUCGGAGCUAAUUCGGCAACAACCGAACAGAGGAUUCAACUCAAACAGGGCAUUAUUUUUGAAUUUCUAUAAUCUUUUAUUUAAAAUUUUAAAUUUAAUAUAAAUUCUAUAUUUUGAGGGUUUAGGGUUGCAGGUUGGGUUUGUCUUUACGUGCUCCGGAUUUCGUCACCGACUAGCUGAUUAAUUUUAUUUUUAGGACACUGCUGGUAUAUUAUAUUUUUUAUUGCAUUUGUAAAAAUAAAGUAUUUAUGAUUAGAAUUAGGGUUUAGGGUUUAGAAGAUGCGUCCACAGUAACACACAUAUAUUUCAUGCAUUUCAUAAAAUUUUGCUUAGUUUAUGAUGGAAAACAUAUUUAGCGUUACUAGUAUGCAGAAAGGUAUAGAAAAUAUGUUUGGGGUUACUAGUAUAUUCUCUUAUGCAUACUUGUAUAUUUGUAUUAAUAAUUAAUUUGUUUGUAUUCGUGUAUAGUUGGCUGUGAGCAUGUAUGCGUUACAAUUUGUCACUCUUAUGCCAUAAAGGGUUUACUCUUAGAGCUUAUAAGAACACUCUUAGUAGAACACUCUUAUAAAAUUUGUGUUUGCAAACAUGUAUGCUUGACAAUCUGACACUCUUAUGCCAUAAAAGAACAUACUUACAGCUUAAUAGAACACUCUUAUUAGCUUUAUGGUUGUGAACACUCAUUUGUCAUAGUAGAACAUUUCUAGGGCUUAAUAGAACACUUUUAUCAGAUGUAUAGUUGCGAACAUAUAUGCAUUGCAAUCUUACCCUCUUAUGACUUAAUAGAAUAUUUUUAAAGCUUAAUAGAACACUGCUAUCAGUUUUAAGCUUUAGAACGCUUUUAUGCCAUAAUAGAAUAAUUGUAAAGGUUAAUAGAACACUCUUAAUAGCUUUAUGGUUGUGAACACUCUUUUAUCAUAUGCAUUGCAAUCUUACCCUCUUAUGACUUAAUAGAACAUUCGUAAAGCUUAAUAGAACACUGCUAUCAGUUUUUGGGUUUAGAACACUUUUAUACCAUAAGGCUAUGUUUGGUAAUAGAAUAACCAGAGGAUAAAGUAUUUUAUCCUAUAUAUUCUACCAAACAAAAAAAAAAGACAGGAAUAGCUUAUACCGGUCAAAGCGGGUUAUUCCAGAAAAAACUGGAAUAACCCGUUAAGAUUAAUUCCCCCCCACCCCUGGAAUUAGAUUUUGUCCCAGGGGCAGGGAUGGGAAAUUCUAUUUUAUUUUGCUGCUUUGCCUCGUUCGUAUCGCCCCUUUACUCUUGCACCUGCCCCAUCUUCGUCUUCAUCUUUUUCUCGAGAAGCUGCGUCGUCUUCUUCCUCUUGUGAUUCUUCUUUACUUUUUCCUCGCACCUAUCUAUACCCCUCUCCCUACUCUUCUUCUCUUCCCUAGGCGAACAUUUCUUUUUUUUUCCUUUUUACUGCCUCGCGCCUACCAAAGAUAGCGUCAUCUUCUUCACCGCCCCAAAGACCCUAUUUAUCGUCUUCUUCACUGCCCCAAAACCCUAUUUAUUGGAGUGGUUUGCUUUUACUCCUGAAGCAAUGUCUCCUACGCAUCUAUUGUUUUCAAAAGCUCGGUUCCCUGCGUAGAUCGGCCAUUAAUUAAGGCAAUCUCUCUUGGCUGCACAACAGAAAGAUAUCUUCUCCGAUCUUGCUGUUAGUUCGAGUUGUCGAGUCGUCUCCAUUAACUACACUUAUUUUCUCCUACCUAACAUAGUAAGUCCUGACUUCUUCCCUAUAAAUAGUAUGCACCAGGGUGAGAUGCAAACCCCUCAAAAAUUCUGUGGUUGAGGAAACUCUACCCUUCAUUGUGCUCAUCUGAAUAGUUAAUCGUAUUUGCGCUCCUUGAUCUUACAAAGGUGGGUUUUUUUUUAACUAGUUUGAUGUAACUUGUGGCCUAACUUUGAUAAUGCUGGGCCUUGAAUGGGAACGAGAUGUAUCCUAUUAACAAGCAGUGAAGCAUUUUUGAAUUCAGAUGUAUUGUGGUUUGGAGGCAUAUGGGAUUAGUCCUAUGCAGCUACCAAUUCAAUACAUAGGACGAUUCAUUCAUGUUGAGUGAUUGCUCCAUUUAUAUUUAUGUGUUGAUUCCUAUUAUUAUUUUAUUUCAAUUGUAAAGCUUCAGUUUGAGUGUAUUAAUUAUGGCCGAAAAUUCAUCUACUCUUACGUCUUGCUUUUCUCUUGGUUUCUACUAGAUUCGUCUUAUUACUUUAUUUCUUAUUCAUUUUUUACAACUAUUAUGCUGAAAAGUUCAUAAUAGUUGAUUUUAAAUAAUUAGAUUUUUAGGUAAACCAUCAGAUUUUUCUUAAUUUCUGUAAUAUAAUGUGCCUACUUUAAAUAAUAGUAAAUAAUAUUGUUGAAAGACAAGGUUGUUGUUUUAUAUAAUUUUGCAUGCUAUUUAUAUUAUGUUUCUUUGUCUUCCUAUUGCAUUUUAUUUAGGCUCUCUGGAUAGGCCAUCAUUUGUAUGGGUCUAUUCAAAGUGCAAUAAUAUAGGUUCAUAAAUAGCAGGACAAAAAUAAAGAUAUGCUGCCAUCAAUUCUACACAGUUAAAAAACUGGAAUAACCAUGUUCUAUAUAUAGCUGAACACUGGGAAUUAUCAGUAUCUGCUGAUGAACAUGUACUCAAUGCAUAUGAUCUUGGAGGUAUUGUGAAAUGGUGGUGCUUUCUCUGUUGCCUUGUUGGAUGCCUUAUUUGACAUAAAAUGAGACGAUGAUGCAUGGGUAAGAAACUAGAACUUCAUGGUUGGGUGGCAUGUUUUUCGCAUUGCAGCCACCGUGAUCAUCAUUAUCCCCUUUCUUCUAAGCCAUGUUAACUUACUAUAAGCUGUACUUCACGACGACUUGUUAAUUUAUUUAUUUAUUUAUAUGUUGAUUAACUUCAGAUGCUACCUCAAAAUAGACAAGUUCAUCGUUUUGUAAGACAAAACAUAAACGUUAUUGAUGUCACCUCAACUGAUAGCCAAAGCCUCCAAAGCCACAGUCAGGAAAUCUCGAAACCCAGAGUACGCUCUGGAAAUUGGACAAAGGUCAUGGAUUCGGCAAUGUUGAACUUGAUGACAGAAGAACAUGUUCUUGGAAAUUUCGUCAAUGGAAGUUUUACUCCACUUGCUUGGGGAAGAAUAAUUCAUGAUUUCAACCUGCGAACAAAAGCAAACUUUGUUAAAAGCCAUUUACAAAAUCGACUAAAAGUGUUGAAGCGACAAUUCGUCAUGUAUCAAACAUUAGCUAAUAAGAGUGGAUGGGGUUGGGAUUAUGAUCGCAACAUUCCAACAGCAGGCGACCUAAGUGAUUGGGAUGUAGUGGUAGCGGUAUGUUGUUGAACCAAUUAUCUUGAAAUUUUAAUUUUUAUAUAAUUAUAGUUUUCUCAGUUGACCAUUGUGUUUUAUAUUGUUACAAGAAAAUUCAGCUUAUGCUAAGUGUAGGGACAAACCGUUCCCUGCAUAUAAGGACAUUGAGUUCUUAUCUGGAAAGACCACUGCUACGGGUAGGCAUGGAUUUACGACUGGAAUGCAAAGUGAGGAUGUUCGUAGCACGUCAUCAUCAUCCCCGGGCACAACCGCCAUUUUAGAGCAAAUCAGAAAAUCCAUGGCCGGUCCUUCAGGACAUGGGCAAACUUCUGGUAGCCACCAAUUACCCAUGGCAAUGUCGCCGCAAAAUGAAGAUGGCAUCAAUGAUGCAACUUCAUAUUCUCCCACUCCAACCCCAGUUAAGAGUGGAAAUCCGCACAUUACUAGUGCUUCUGCUCAUACUUCUUCUGGUAAGAGACGUCGUUCCUCACCUCCGUCACGUAAGACUACACCGACAUCAACCCGUAAAGGAAAAAUUGAAAACAACUCUGAUUGUAUGCAAGAGUUGGUUGAGCUUGGCAAAAAAAGAUUGAACAUAGCUGAGCGAUUGCUACAGCGUGAGAUUGACGCUUGUCCAAAACUUCACUCCAUAGAGGAGUGUAUGGUAAGACUAAAUAACAUUCCCGGUCUAUCUCUUGAAGCUAUCCUCUCUGCAUGUGACGCUUUCAAGGAUGAGCGCAAUAGGUCAAUGUUCAUGUCUAUGAGUGGAGAUAUUUUGUAUAUGUGGAUUGACCGUCAAGUGGUCAUGCAACGGCUGGCCACUGGAAACAUGCCUGACGCACCCUCCUUCCCUCCUAACUAGAUAAAUAUCUUUAAUCUGCCACCUGGUUUUUGCGGCCUUGCACACAAACUUGAUAUAUUUUGGGUUUUCUAUGUGGUUAGCAAGGCCUAUAUGAAUUACGUUCCUACUGUUUCGCCCUUUUUUGUAUCUAAACUACUAUAUUUAUGGUCUUUUAGUUUCCUAUAUUAUGGCUAUUUCUAAUCUAUGUAGAAUUGAUAGCAGCUUAUGUUAUCCUUUAUCGUACUAUUUAUGGUCAAUGUAGUUGGAAACUCAAAUGUAUGGAACGAUGUUACUUCACUGUUUAAAAUAGUAAUAUCCUGCUGUUUAAAAACUAAUUAUUGCUAUUUUAAAUUAAUUAGAACCGAUGGGGCUUAUAAUAUUGUAGUUUUUGCACUGAUUAAGGAUUAAUGGCAGCAUAUUUUUCCUCUGUAACUUUGCUUAUGAAUGUAUAAUAUAGUUAUAUUUAAAAUCUUGAAUUGAUGGUAGCAUAUAAUUUUUUGUUCCUGCUAUUUAAGCAUCUAUAUUUGUGCAGUUUGUAAACUAUCUAUAUUUGAUGGCACGAUAUCAAGAGGCAUUGUUCCUGCUUUUUAUGUAAAUGGUUGGAAGUAGGGAUGACUACUAUUGCAGCCACCAUUUUAUUUUAAACCCUUUCACUCUUAAUCCUGCUUAAAUAACAUGACCUUUAUACUUCCAGUUCUCUAUCUCUGUGGAAAUGAUGGCAACAUAUUUUUUCUUUUUUAUGUUCUGCUUUAAAUGGAACUAUACUAAUGCAGUUUCUCUUUAAUGAAUUGAUGACAGCAUAUAAUCUUUUUUCCUGCACUAUAUGCACCUAUAUUAUUGCACUUUGAAAACUAAGAAUGAUUGAUGACAGCAUAUCAAGAGGCACUAUUCUUGCUCUUUAUGUAUCUAUGUUAUUGCUCUUUAAGCAUUGCUAUUGCUAAUUAUGCAGCAUUUUUUGUAUUAAAUUGUAGUUUAGUCAAUGAUGUGGUGUUAUAAAUGGUAUGGAGGCAGGGACAGACCACUGCAGUUGCCAAUAACAUUUUAUUGCAAACCCUUACACUUGAAAGCUAGCUUACAUCAAUGGACUUUUAUGAUUGCAUUUUCUUAACCAUAUGAAACUGAUAGCAGCACAUUUUUUUUCUAUUAUAAUUACAAUUUCUUAACCAUUUGGAACUAAUAGCAGUAUUUUGUCCAUUGCUUCUCUUUAUGCAGCAUAUUCAUAUCACAUUUUUGUUUCGACAAUGAUGCAUAAAAAGGUAGUAGAUGUAAAUGGUAGGGAAGAAUGGACCAAUCCCACUGCAGCCACAGUUUUAUUCUAAACCUUUUUACAUCUGAGCCAUCUGAAAUCGAAAUUGCCACUUCAUAAUCCAGCAUUUUUAGAUUGUGUAAAUUAACAUGCAUAUUAGAAUGUUCAUUCUUUCUAAAAAUUGCUUUUUAUUUUUUUGUUGGAUUGUAGUGAUGACUCAGUUAAUCAAUCGCCGAGUUUUUAGAUCUCCAACUGUGGCGAAUCUCAUGGCAUUCUUAGAUGAAGAGGAAGAUUAUUGGGAUGAGGUGCAAGUUAUGUUUAUCAACGAAGGUGUCUUUGAGUUUCAAAAUACCUUGUAUAAGAGACCAUGUCACACUAGACCGUUCACUGGUCACCAACUAAUUAUGGACAUAUUGCGGGGGCAUCCUGAUAGAGGGUGUCAACAUUUUCGAAUGUCGAAUACUACUUUUUUGAGACUUCGAGAUGAAUUGGUUGGGAAGGGGUUGAUACAAGGUACUCGAAAUCUUACUAUCGAUGAGCAGCUUGGCAUAUUUUUGUUUGGUGUAGGCCAUGGUGUGACGAACAGAGUGUUGGCUGAAACAUUUCAGCACUCAGGGGAGACUGUUAGUAGAUAUUUGAAUAAUGUGUUAAAUGGUGUGGUCGAGCUUAGGCACGAAUAUAUCCAGUUGCCAAGAAGUAAUGUGGGAGUGCACCCAAAAAUUAGAGACAAUCCAUUAUUUCAUCUAUUUAAGGUGAUUUGAAUAUGAACUUUUGCAAUAUUUGUUAAUUAGUUAUAAUAUUUUUCACUUAUUUGAUAUCUUCAUUAUUAAUCGCAGAAUGCAAUUGGUGCUAUAGAUGGGACGCAUAUACCGGUAGUCGUAAGAAAGAACAAGCAACCACGAUAUCAUUGUCGUAAAGGAUAUACAUCGCAAAAUAUGAUGGUUGCGUGCUCGUUUGACCACCAGUUCUUAUUCGUCUGUACCGGGUGGGAGGGAUCGGCAGCUGAUAUGAGGGUGCUACGUUGGUGUUGUGAAAGUGGGGGUUUCAUAGUUCCUGAAGGUAGAGUAAUUUUUUAAUUUCGUCAUUUUCCAUUGUGCUAUUUUAAAUUAACAGUUCGUUUUUUUAUAGGAAAAUUUUACUUGGUGGAUUCUGGUUAUGCAAACACUGAUCGAUUCCUCGCACCUUUUAGAGGAGAGCGCUACCACCUAAGCCAAAUUGGUGGCAAUGCAAGGGCGCGCACACAUCGAGGACCUCGAGAUUUAUACAAUCAUAGGCAUGCCCAGCUUAGAAAUGUUGUUGAGAAGGCUUUCGGCAUCUUGAAGAAACGAUUCAAGGUGCUUCGCCAAGCAACUCCUUUUCCGUACAAGGUACAAUGUCGCAUAGCCUUAGCAUGCUGUGUAAUCCACAACUUCAUCAAGAGGCACCAAGGGAGCGAUAGAUAUUUUAAUAUGCAAAUGGAGCCAAAUCCACAUGACGACCGAGACGAGGAUCCUAUACGUAUGGUUGGCAUAGAUGAAUCCCGACGAGGCGACGCCCUUCGUACUAUGAUCACAGAGCAAUUAUGGAAUAAUAGAUAGGAUGCAAUAUCUUGGACUAUAUAAUUUUAAUAUUUCAUUUUAUUAGAGGACAUUUCCGUUCACAUAUUAGUAUUUGGCUUUGAUAGUCAAUAUGAAGCUAGAAACUAUUGUUUACGUCUGUUUGUGUUUUUUUUUCUCAAUGAACUUGUGUUGUUUAUUAUGUUUAUAUAAUUUGUAUGAUCUUUUUUCUGAAUGAACUUGUGUGUUGAUUAUGCUUACAUAAUUUGUAUUAGCCAUUAGGAGGUUAACCUAUAUAUUGAUGAUAAUUAUCAUUCAAUAACGAUGUGGAGUUUUUCUGCUAUUUAUGGCCCUACGACAUUGUAGUUUUGAAACCAUGUACAAUUGGGGGCAACUAAUCCCUCUUAUGCAAUUUGUGGACCUAUAUUAAUGUAAUUUUAUUAGUUGUUCAAUUUAUAACAACAAAUUUAUUGUAUUAUAACCUUCAUUACAAAUUUAGCGUUAAUGUAGUAUCUAGACGACUAGAAUUUUUGACAGAAUAUCUUUCCUACUGUAAUGCAAUGUUUAAACCUAUAUUUCAUAAAUUAUUAUUUAAUUUUUUAAAAUUAAAAAUUUAAUUAUGUAGUAUUGGGCCAUCUAUUAGUUAGUUUUGGCAUUUAUGCUGUCAUGCUUAUUUAAUUUAGCACUCCAUUUUAUAUAUAUAUUUUUUAUCAUAUUUAUUAAUUUAAUAAUUUUUCAAAUUGUAUGAAAAUUAUUAUAAGUUAUAUUGUGCAGUGCCUAUAUAUUCAAUAUUUCCUACAUUAGAGUAACAUAGAAGGGCCAACUUGGAAUUUUUAAAAAUUUCAAUCUACUUUUGUUCUUAUUCUUUCUAUUCUCUAGAAAAUAACCAAACAAUAUUUUAAUUAUUCCAUAGAAUAAGAAAGUGUCAGACCAAACAAAAAAUUUCUUUUAUUCCUCUAUAUCCUAGAAUAUAAAAUAAUUUCAAGAAUAUAAAUAUUUAUCCCUCUGAAUAUUAUUCCAUUACCAAACAUAGCCUUAUUGUUAAACCUUGUGUAACAAUUCCAUUCACAUGGCCAAUCAUGUCUCUAUUGUCAUUGUUUUCCUUGUUUACUACAAUCAAGGUCCAAGUCUUGCAUUCAUACAUCUUCUAGGGUUCUACAUACAUGUCCAUUAUGGUUCUUGUUCAAUCACUAUGUUCAACUACAUUAGAAGCACAAUAUUGAAACUCUAACCAUUAAUCACAUGUAAAUAUCCCUACUAUGCAUGAAUGACUCUAUAUACAAAUAUGCUCAACAAAGGUGAAAAUAGACAUAGAGGGGAAUCCGAUAAUUCCGGCAUGCACCCCCCACCUUGAGUGGUAAUAGAUGAAGAAUAUGGAGACUCCCGAACGUUACGAACGCCGAAUCCGCAUCCUAUAGUCAAAAUAGUGCCAAAUUAGGCCCCUUUAUACAUGAACUACUUUUAAACAUUUUCGUAACGUUAAACGGAGUUGUCCCACGCGUCAAGGGCACCCCCAAUUGGGUUUCCACAAGGUCAAUUCGUUCCCGAAAAAUUCUAAGGCAGAAGUCCUAAAUUUGAGCCCUAACAAUGUCAUGUAUAGAAUGCUCCUAGAUUGAUCUCACCCCUAAGCAAAAGAUAGCUUAGAAUCACCUAGGAAGCUCACUAAUACCUUUACAAAGCCAUUCUACACAUUCCUAGGGCAUCUAGCAUGAACCUAGGGUUUCACCAUGAGAGCACCUCAAGAAAACCAUGGAUUUCAUGGUUUCAAGGUCAAUAGAGGGUUCUAGGUUAAUUAGAGGAUCAAAACUCUAAAUCCCAAGGUUUAAAACCAAACCCUAGAGUUCUACAUGCUAGAAAUUCACCUUAGCCCAAGUUCCACCAAGCUCCUCCUUGUUGGAGAGCUCCUAGACCCACCAAAGCCACUAAAAAUCCCUCCUCAAGCUUCUUCUUCUUUUUUUCCAAGCUCUAGAGCUAGGGUUCUAGAGAGAGAAAGAGAGGGAAAUGAGAAGAGGGUGAAAAAUGGCUGUGGGAGAGAGGGCUAGGGCCAUAUAAGGUGUUGUGACAUUUGAACUUAGGCCCCUCCACUUCCUAUUCUGUGCACUGCCCAGACUGGGCAACUUUCGCAGUCGGGGACCCGUCUCCCCGACCAGGGACCGGUUCCCGAACGUUAGGUUUCCAGGACUUAGCUAAAUUUCCAGGUUUUUGGCUGGCUGCGCAGUGAGAGACCGGUCUCUCCUUCAGGGACCGGUCUCCCGAGGAUCGGUCUCACUGCCAGGGACCGGUUGCCUCAAGAUUCCUGGCAGGCUACGCGCACGGGGACCGGUCUCUACUUCAGGGACCGGUCCCCAAGAGCUCAAAAUCUGGGACUUAGCCAGAUUUUGUACUUUCGCUCUCACGGGUCCCUUUGCACUAUAUAUAGGCUCCAAUGCACUUAGGGCCUAUACCAACUCAUUCCACUCCGCGUUCCGCUUGUUUCGACGAAACUUGGCACGAUUUACGAGGGAUGUGGUAUGUUACAUUCUCCACCCUUAAUUUAGUUUCGUCCGCGAAACUACUAUGUUUGAAAUCUAGAUUUCAUACCUCACUUCAGAUCCUCGAAGAGGUGAGGAUAACGCUCCCUCAUUUCGCUUUCGAGCUCCCACGUUUCUUCCCGGUCAUCAUUUUUGCACAAAUAAAUUUUAACAUACGGGAUUUCGCGGUUCCGUAGUUUCCUCACUUCUCGUUCUGCAACAUACGCCGGAAACUCUUCGUAGGUCAUAUCCUCCUGAAGCUCUAUCGGUAUAUACGAGAGAAUAUGAUCCGGAUCGUAAACAUACUUGCGGAGUUGGGAUACAUGGAAUACAUCAUGUACUCCCGCGAGUCUAGGUAGUAAUGCCAACUUGUAGGCCACCGCGCCAACUCGUUCCAAAAUCUCGAAGGGUCCAAUAUAGCGGGGACUUAGCUUCCCGCGAAUACCGAACCGCUUAACUCCUCGCAUCGGCGAUACUUUUAGAAAUACGCGGUCUCCAACCGUGAACUCAAUAUCCUUUCGCCGCUUGUCGGCAUAACUCUUGUGCCUUGAUUGUGCCGUCACUAAUCUUUGUCGGGCAAGGAGAACUUUCUCUUCCGCCUCCCGCACCACGUCCGGGCCAAGAAUCAUCUUCUCGCCCAUAUCGCUUCAGUGUAUUGGCGAGCGACAUUUCCUUCCAUACAGGGCCUCGAAUGGCGCUAUCGUAAUGCUUUCUUGAUAGCUAUUGUUGUAUGCGAAUUCCGUCAUCGGUAAGUGAUCGUGCCAUCCGCCCUUAUAAUCAAGCACACACGCUCGAAGCAUGUCCUCAAGUAUUUGAAUAGUCCUUUCCGAUUGACCGUCACAUUGAGGAUGGAAUGCCGUACUAAAGUUGAGCCGCGUGCCCAAUGCAUCUUGUUAAGAUCUUCCAAAAAUGAGAUGUGAACCUAGGGUCCCGAUCCGAUACAAUAGAUACCGGAACCCCGUGAAGUCUCACCACCUCGUCGAGAUAGACUUGAGCUAACUUGUCUCCCGACCAAGUAGUGUGGAUCGGCAAAAAGUGUGCCGAUUUUGUCAACCGGUCCACAACUACCCAAAUCGCGUCAUGUCUACCUUGUGAUCUAGGCAAACCUGUCACAAAAUCCAUUGCGAUGUUUUUCCAUUUCCACACGGGUAUAGGUAGACUUUGCAAUUUUUUCGCCGAAAAUCGACGCUCCGCUUUCACUUGUUGGCACGUGAGAUACUGCGCUACGAACUCUCCUAUAUCUUUCUUCAUGCCCGGCCACCAAUAAUGCAAUUUCAGGUCUCAAUAUAUUUUGGUGCCGCCCGGGUGAAUGCUAUAGGGAGAUUGAUGCGCUUCUUGCAUAAUCGCCCUCGGAAGAUUGUCGUCCUUGGGCACGCACCAACGAUCCCGAUAUCGUAGUGCGCUGUCAGUCCCAAUGCCAAAAUCAUCGGCACUACCGCUCUCAACUUUGCCCCGCACCUUUUGGAAAAAUUCAUCCGAUACUUGUAAUCCUUUAAUCUUCUCCAACAAGGUUGGUUGCACAACCAAGGUAGCAAGUGUUGCCGGCACUCCCGGCGCCACAACUUCUAGACCAAAUCGCUGCAUCUCCUUUUGCAAAGCCGGUUGAGGUGUAAUUUUUGUCGCCAAAUUCUCCGCCGACUUUCUACUUAGAGCAUCGGCCACGACGUUCGCUUUUCCGGGGUGGUAGAGAAUCGUGACAUCAUAAUCUUUGAGCAACUCUAACCCCCGCCGCUGUCGCAAGUUUAGCUCCUUCUGGAUGAAUAAGUAUUUGAGACUUUUAUGAUCGAUGUAGAUCUCACAAUGUUUCCCAUACAAGUAAUGCCUCCACAAUUUUAGCGUGAAAACAACCGCCGCUAGCUCAAGAUCGUGAGUCGGGUAGUUCUUUUCAUAACUCUUCAACUGGCGCGAAGCAUAAGCUAUGACUCGGCCGUUUUGCAUUAAGACACACCCGAGACCGAUGUAUGAAGCAUCACUGUAUACGACAUAACUCUCUCCCGGCGUCAGCAAAGCAAGCACCGGAGUAGAUGUCAGUCUAUUCUUUAGCUCCUCAAAGCUCCACUCACACUCGGGGCUCCAAACAUAUGCACCCCUUUGUGCGUAAGGCGCGUUAGUGGAGUUGUUAUCUUAGCAAACCCCUCCACGAACCGCCGGCAGUAGCCCGCAAGUCCAAGAAAGCUACGAAUUUUCGCCACACUUGUUGGGCCAGGCCAACUUUAAUCGCUUCAACUUUCUUUGGGUCCACCGAGAUGCCAUCUCCGGAUACAACGUGACCCAAGAAGGUAACCUCCGAAAGCCAAAACUCACAUUUCUUUAGUUUUUCAUAAAGCUUUUCCUUCCGGAGUAUCUCCAAUACGAGUCUUAGAUGCUCCUCGUGUUCUUCUUCGGUCCGAGAAUAUACCAAUACGUUGUCAAUGAAAACCACGAUGCACCAGUCCAAUAGCGGACGGAAGACUCGAUUCAUUAGGUCCAUAAAUGCCGCCGGGGCAUUAGUGAGCCCGAAUGGUAUGACUGUAAACUCAUAAUGGCCAUACCGCGUACGGUACGCCGUUUUAUGUACGUCUUUGGGUCGUAUCUUCAACUGAUGAUACCCCGAUUGAAGAUCAAAUUUUGAAUUUACUCUUGACCCUUGCAACUGGUCGAAUAAGUCAUCAAUUCUCGACAACGGAUAUUUGUUCUUGAUCGUCACUCUAUUCAACUCGCGAUAGUCAACGCAGAGUCGAAGUGUGCCGUUCUUCUUCUUUACAAAUAGCACCGGAGCUCCCCACGAGGACACCCUCGGCCGUACAAAGUCAUUAUCGAGCAAGUCUUGCAACUGGGCUUUCAACUCUUUUAGCUUCACCGGUGCCAUUCUAUACGGAGCCUUCGAAAUUGGCGCCGCCCCGGGAAUCAAGUCAAUGACAAACUCGACUUUCCGAUCCGGGGUCAAUCCCGGUAACUCCACCUAAAAUACAUCUGGAUGCUCACGUACAACCCGAAUACUCUCCAGUUCUGGGUACUCCUUUCGGGAGUCUACGAUGGUCGCCAAAUAAGCCUUGCAACCUGUAAUACACUGAACUUUUGCAAAUUGCGAAGUUCGAGUGUGAGGAAUGAGAUGUGGAUCUAUCCUACAUAUUCUAAAAGGCUUGGACAAGUUUUUGUACAAGUUAGAGAAUGAUUGGAUGGCCAAAAGCAAGAAAGUGUUUUGAUCUGGCGAAAUCAGUAUUUUUCUGCUUGGUGUACCGGUACAGCCAUCAUUGUGUACCAGUACACAGUGGCAGAAACAUGGCAGCAGGGUUAAUUUGGUAAAUUCACACCUUAUGCUUAUCUUCUUAACCCCUGCACGACUCCAGGAGCUCAGGGAAGGUUGCUGGAGCUCAGGGAAAGCCUCUUUCACCUUAUCCACUCUCUCUCUCUAGGGUUUUUCUCUCUCUACAUAGAAAUCGACGAUUUCGCUCGUUUUCGUCGCAUCGCGUGUUCUUCGCUGGUUGCGACUGUCGCGGAGCUUACGUGGACGUGUGAGGGAGUGUUUUGGAAGGCUUUUUGCAGCUCUGAACCAGUAGGGUGGUGGUUGGAAGCUUGAGAAGGUAAUCGACUCAAUUAUUCCUCAAUCGAUGCUCUAAUAGUCGAGUCGGGUGCUGAUUUUGGGUUUUUGUUGUUCCAGCUGAGAGAAAAGUGGAUUUGCUGCUAUAACAGGGUCAGAUAUCGUAGAUUAACUCAGUUGGGAUUGAGUUUAUGGCUUAAGAAGGUAAACUACUUCCUUUCUUCAUUGUUUGGGCACUAAUUCAACGAUAAAAGGCUGAUUUUGGGGUCGCUGUUCGCAGCAGGUUUUCGAAUUAAAUUGAGCUUAUUUGGUGACCUUGGGGAUUGGUUUAGAAGGUGUUCUAACCUGAGGUAAGCAGGAAUUUCAGUUCUAAAACUGAUUUAGUAAGAAUUUGACUAUAAUAGCUUAUAUGCAAGCAUAUUAAGGCCGUUUAGUGUUUGUUCGCAGCGAGAGUGCUACCGACCUUGGGAUCACCUUCAGUUGGCAUUGGAGAGCAAUUAGAGGCUUAACUUGAGGUAUUAAGCUAGCCCAAAACAGGGAUUUAAGUUACUACUUCGUAUUAAGUGCAAGAGUACCGAAAUUGGACAUUUUGGAUGUAUGUUUGAUACGGUUUUGAUGCAUUAUUUUCAGCAGGGCUGAGGCUUGAUUGAGCUGAAUUUCGGGACUCUUGUGGACUGAUUUGAGCCUAGUAAUAGGUUGGUUUGACCUAACCAGAGCAAGUGAAGCGCCCCUAUGUUCUAUAUGUCACUAUAGAAUUGGUAUAGUUGUGUGCUUUUGUGGUUGAUAUAGGACUUGAGUCUAGUCACUAUACUAUAGUGUCGAUACAUAAUUGAUUUGAGAUCUCUAUGAAGUAGAGAACAUUUAUGCAUACAAGUCUUUAUGUUCAUGUUUAACUCGGUUGAAUGACUAAUGGACAAGUUAUCAUGUUCCGAGAAACUAGGGAACAAUGACAUUCUUAUGACUUUAUCGAUUAUAAAGUAUAGAAUAAUGACAUGCUUUGGGACUAUAAUAAUAAUGCCAUGAUAGUGGAAAAGUUUCUAAUGCCAUAUGUAAAUUAGCAUUACUCUCACAUGUUUAUUAAUCUAGUGGAUACUAGCUAUUGUCAAUAUUCGUUAUAUUGAAAUUCCGAUCAAAGGAUCGAGAGUGAGAACAUUACAAGUUAAAUCGUGAGGAUUUAAACAAGUUGGACUAUCGACCUUGCUUGCUUGCCAUCAUGCUCAUUCGCACAUGCUUGUGAGGGUCGCUCUCUACAAGCCGGCACUCCGGAGUUGGCCUACGCGACAGUUGCUCGCCCGUGCGGGAUUGGGUGCCGAAGUGGAUUGCCGUGGGAAGUGUAUACUACCACGAGGACAUUAGGCGCAGCGCAAGCUGGACUACCUUGAGUAGGUCCUUAUGAAUAAAAUGAAAGUACUAAAUGACAAAGGACAGUAAUGAAUGCUCAUCAGUUAUAAUGUACAGUAUUUACUUACACAUCUAUAUUUAUGUUCAUGUUUAUAGUAGUUGCUAUGCUUCUAUCAUUCAGUUGAUUCAUUACUGUUGAUGCUAUGAUCACAUGUUGUUUACAUGUUCAUUAUUUGUUAACAUUGGCUUAUGAAUUGUUAGCAUUGAAAAUAUAUCAUGCAAAUUACUGCUUUUAUUUCCAUUCUGUACAUCUUGAGCCUAGUGGUGUAAUUCGCCGAGGCUGGCGGCUUACCCACUGGAAACUAUUGUUAAUAGUUCUCACGCCCUUUUUUUUAUGGUUGUUUUUACAGAGCCAUCUACAGGAAAGGCUAGGGAUCGUGGAAAGGGAGUCGCGUCUAGCUAGACAUUGCUAGGAGCUUGCUAGUUGAUCACCUUGCUACUCGGGCUACGGCCGAGGGUGAUGUCCCAGUGUAUAGAGUGACUACCAUUGUAUAAGUAUUUUAAGUAGUCUAUGAUGUUUAUUUAUUGUUUGGAUCCAGAGUUUAUAGUUUUUUUUUUCUUCUCUAUGAUGUCGAGAUUUUGGAUUGGUUACUCUCCGUUCUUCUGUUGAUCGUAUUGUUGAUUUAUACUUCGCUCUGAUAUCAGGAUAGGAUUUUCUAUAUUUUCUUCCUAUUGACUUGCUUCUUUGUAGACGCCUUAUAUACUGCAGGUGUAUGGCGGGUCUGUGCACGUACCGGAUGCACUUCCGCUGGUACCCGGGCAUGACACAACCAUCCCUAAUCAUUCUCUUCGCCCUCACCGUCGAUAUAGUCGCCGCGAAGCGUUUGCCUUUGCACGCCCGAUACAUUAACUCCUCUUGGUUAGGCUCACGGAACGUGAUCACCCUUCUUUCGCAAUCUAUAACCGCGUAAUACUUGAAGAGCCAAUUGAUCCCCAAGAUUACCUCGAAGCCCCACAUUUCCUUUAACACUAGAAGGUCGAUCGGCAUAAUCUAAUCACCUAUCUGCACUGGGCAGUCCAAGAACUCAUCGUGAACGUCGAAUGAGUGCUCGGGAGUAUUCACCGACCAAUACUCCUCGCUAUGAGUGAUUUCUACGUUAUGAGCUUGUGCAAAUGAUGCCAAUAUGAAUGAAUGAAAUACACCCGUAUCAAAUAUGGCCCUAGCUCUAGUGCCUCUGAUAAGAAUAAUACCUGUCACGACGUCGUCAGGAACAAUGAUUGGUGGCUCCUCCACCUGAGUGGCAAAUACCCGCCCACUAGGUACUCGAGAGGCCUCCGGCUGACGAGGCGCCGACGAUCGUCCAGCAGAUACGGCGGGUGGUAGUCCCGCCAGCUGCCGUGGGGUGUACUGAACUGAAGCUGAUGACGGAGCCGGGGAUGCGCCGCCCGGGCAUUCCGAACUCAUAUGUCCAGCAGAGCCGCACCGAUAACAUCUCCCCUCGCAUUGGGAAUAGUCCCUGGGCCUAUGAUUCCCGCCGCAAAUAACACACGGGAAGGAAGUCGCCUGGCUCUUGCCUUGUCACGCCCCGGGACCGGCGAAGGCCCUGCCGGUAGCGUGCCCAGACCCGCCAUAUGUCAACACAUAUAAGGCGUCUAUAAUAAAAGCGGAAGUAAAAGCAAUAAAUAGUACAAAUAGAGCAGUAACAACUAGUGAUAUCAGAGCGAGCAAUGUUCUAUCAUCUAAGCUAGAGUAGAGAAAGCAUAACUAAACAAUAAGAGUAAACAUAAGGUAGUACAAAUAACAUCUCCUCAACAGGAAUACAAGGAUCCAAAAGAAAGGUGGUCUCUCUACAAAUACGAGUACAACUCACAACCUCUCAUAAAAUAAAACUACGAAAGGUAGACCACCUAUCAAAUCGUCCUCAAAGGAAGCCAGCUCGAAGCAACUCCCUUCCCGCGGUCCCUAGCCUCUCCCGGUGUGAAAGGCUCUGAAAGAAAACACAAAACAGAGGGCGUGAGAACUAUGAUUUAUAGUUCCCAGUGGGCAAUUACUGACCUCAGCUCAGUGCACCACUAGGCCCUAAAAGAAAGGGUAAGUCUAACAAUAAUAGUAACGAGUAAAUUGCAUAUUAGAAAGCAUAAUAAUUAAGAUGCUAAACUACGACUUGCAAUUAAACAUGGCAUUCCUAAUGCGACUUUAUCUUGUCAUGGAUAUAUAUGUUCACAAGUAAUAUCAUGCUUUACUUUAUACAGAUAUGAAAGUGAUACUUUGUCAUGACUACAAUGCAUGUAAGGGUGCAAUAAACAACAUCUCCUAGCAUACUACAUGUACGUAUGAAUACCCAAAAGUCCACAACUAUGCUAGAAGUACGUCCAAGUAAUUCUACUACUACUCUCUGACUAGUAGUGAUCAUAAUAAACUCAACACCGGGUCGAUUUCCAUUUCCAAUUAAGGACCAACCAAAUGUAGUCCAGCUUGUGCCGCCUAAGUGCCAUUCCAUUUUAAUAUUAUUUUUUUUAUAUUUAUUAAUUUAUAUAUUUUUCAAUUGUAUGAAAAGUGGGUUAUAAAGUGUAUAUUGAGUGCAGUGCCUAUAUAUUCAAUAUUUCCUACAAUAGAGUAACAUAGAAGCGCCAUAACUUGGUAAUUUUUAAAAAAAUUUCAUUUACUUUUGUUCUUAUUGCUUUUAUUCUUUUAGAAAAUUAAUCCAAAACAAUUUUAAUUAUUCCAUAGAUAAGAAGAGUGUCAGACCAAACUAAAAAAAUUUUUUAUUGGCCUCUAUGAUCUAGAAUGAUUAAAAAUAAUUUCAAGAAUAUAAAUAUUUAUCCUGUGGAGUGGUGUGGAGUUGGCCAAAAUAGCCUUGAUUGGGGUUAAACUUCGGUAACAAUUCCAUACAUGCGCCAAUCAUGUGCUCUGAUUGUCAUUGUGGGUUGGGGGUUUCCUUGUUACAUUCAGUGUUGGAGAUGUCUGUAAGUCUUUGCAUUCAUUACAUCUUCUAGGGUUCUACAUACAUGUGUGUUUGUGGGUAUUCUUGGUCUGUGCGCGAGUGGAUAGUAAGGAUUAGAGAGGCGAAUAUUGAAACUCUAAAUUAAAUCAAUGUAAAUAUCCCUACUAUGCAAUGAAUGGACUCUAUUUAUUACAGAUUGUUGUCAACAAAGGUGUGUGAAUAGGAGAGGUGAGAGGUGGAAUACGAUAAUUCCGGGGAUUGACCCCCACUUGGGGGGUGAGUGGGUAUAGUAGUAUGAGUAAUAUGGGAGUUACUCGGGGUCGAAGAUGUGGGAACGAACGCGACAUGCAUCAGCAAAGUGGGUGCGGGGCCAAAUUAGGCCGGGUGGGUAUACAUGGAAGUACUUUUAAAACGAUGUUGUGGUAGUGUGUUUAAACGGAGUUGUGGAGGGUGAGGCCCGCCAAUUGGGUUUCCACAGGUUUAAUUCGUUGCCGGAGAGUGUUGUGAGAACUAAAUUAGCAAAUUGAGUGGUAUAGAGAGUGUUAGGAUGUGUGAUGCACCCCAAGCAAAAGAUAGUUGAAUCAGCCUAGGGAGCUCACGUAUUACCUGUACAAAGCGGGCAUUGGAGUGUGUGGCAUUAGGUGGACCUAGGGUUUCGGAUGCUCGAGCGAUGUGUGAUGGUGUGUGAGGUGUGAAUUGCCGGUUCUUGUGUUGAGGAUGGAUGUUGAAAAACUAUAAAAUCCAAGGGUUUAAGAGCCAAACCUUAGAUUGCUUACAUGCUAGAAUUCACCUUAGCCCAAGUUCCACCAGGGAGGGUCCUCUUGUUGGAGGAAGCUCCUAGACCACCAAAGCACUAAAAAUUCCCUCCUCAAGCAUCUUCUUCUUUUUUUCCAAGCUCUAUGGGAGUUAAGAAGAAGGAGGGAAAUUGAGAGAGGUGAAAAAGUGUGUGUGGGAGAGAGGGCUGGAUGGGCGGUCGAGGGUUAUAAGGUGUUGGGACAUUUGAACUUAGGCCACUCCACUUCUAUUCUGUGCAUGCCCAGCUGGGGUGGUUCGCAGUCGGGGACCGUCUCCCGACCAGUGACCCUUUCCGAAGUUUAGGUUUCCAGGACUUAGCUAAAUUUCCAGGUUUUUGGCUGGGGGGCUGCGGGGGUGAAGAGGCGGUGUGUGUGUGAGGGGACGUCUCGCCGAGGGAUCGGUCUCGGAUGCAGGGACGGGGUUGGGGCCUAAAGAUUUCUGGCAGGCUGACGUGUGUGACGGGGCGGCCGGUGUGUGGGGGACGGUCUCCCAAUGAGCUCAAAAAUCUGGGACAGUUAGCAGAUGUUUAGAUACUUUUCAAUGUAGCGUGGCUAGCGGGUGUGCGGGACGUUGAGUGUGAGUGUUCCAAGUGAUGAGUAUGAGCAACUCAGUCCACUCCGCGUUUGCCGCUUGUUUUCGACGAAUUGGCGACGAUUUACGAGGAUUGUGGUUAUGUUACAUUCUCCAUCCCUUUAAUUAGUUCUGGUCCGCAAAAUACUAUGUUUGAAAAUCUAGAUUCAUUACCUCAUUCAGUAUUCGCGCGAAGAGGUGAGAUACGGCUCCCUCAGUGUGUGGUGUGUCGAGUUCGUAGCGUCUUGUCAUCAUUUUUGCACAGAGAGUGUGUGUUGUGUGAGGCGGGAUUUCGCGGGGUUUUCCGUAGUUGUCCUCACUUCUCGUUCUGGCCAACAGUAGCCGGAAAGGUGUGUGGUAGGUCAUUAUGCUGCGUGACGGGGUUAUCGGAGUGUGUGACGGUGGAUGAGAAUAUGGAUUUUCUCGUGAUCGUAAAAUACUAUGCGGGUGUGUGAUAGAUGGAUUAUAAUCAUGUACUCCCGCUUCGUGGAGUCUGAUGGUAGUAAGCAACUUGUAGGCGCGUGCGAGGACUGGUGUGCGGAAGUUGGUGGGGGUGGGUAUAGCGGGGACUUAGCUAUCCUAGCGCGUAAUACCGGAAUACUUAAUCCUGCGAUCGUGGGGCGAUACUUUUAGAAAUACGGGUGUUUGGUGGGCGGGGGGGUCGUCCAGCCUGUGAACUCAGUAUUCCUUUCGCCGGGGUUGUCGAGUGUGCUUGUGCCGUUUGAUGUGUGCGGCAGAAUGUGUGUGGGAGUGGGAGGAGUGUGUUGUGUGUGAGGUCCGGGUGUGCGAGUCUUUCGGCGCGAGUGAGGUGUGUGCAGGUGAGUGUGGCGGAGCGACAUUUCUUCCAUACUUAAGGGGGGCUCGCGAAUUGGCGCUAUGUAAUGCUGUCGUGUGUAUAGCUAUUGUUGUUAUGUCGUGAAUUCCGUCAUCGGUAAGAUGAUCUGGUGGUUGUAUUUAUAAUCAAGCACAGCACGGUGUGUGUUGGCUCAGAUUGUUGGUGUUGAAUAGUCGCUUUGCGAUUGGAGCGUGUGGGCGAUGUGUGGUGGGAUGCGUGUAAAUUUGCAGUGCGCGGUGUGGGCCCAAUGCAUUUGUUAAGAGUCUUUCUAAAAAUGAGAUUGUGGGGCCUAGGGUCGCCGAUCCGAUAAAUGAGGGAUACCGAAGGGGCCCGGUGAAGUCUUCACGGCAGGCGGGUUGAUGGACUUGAGUCUAGGGGUUUGUCUCGGUGCAAGUAGUGGGGACCGGCAAAUAAGGGGGGAUUGCGAUGUUUGAGAUCGGUCGCUGAGCAUUAGCGACGCAAAUCGCCGUCCAUGUCUACCAUUGUGUGAUCUAGGGCAAAUCCUGAUCGACAAAAUCCAUUGCGAUGUUUUUCCAUUUCCACACGGGUAUAGUAGACUUUGCAAUUUUUUGCGCCGAAAAUCGACGCUCCGACUUUCCUUGUUGGCACGUGAGAUUUACUGGUACGAACUCUCCUAUAUCUUUCUUCAUGCCGGCACCAAUAAUCGCAAUUUCAGCAUCUCAGUAAUAUUUUGGUGGCCGGGCUGUGAUGCUAGGGAGCAUUCGAUGCGCUUCUUGCGAUAAUCGCCACCUCGGAGAUUGUCGUCCUUUUGGAGCCACGCACCAACGACCCGAUAUGUAGUGCGCUGUCCCAGUCCCAAGGCCAAAUCAUCGGGCACUAACGCUCUCAAACUUGGGCCCGCACCUUUUGGAAAAUUCAUCCUGAUACUUGUAAAUCUUUAAUCUUCUCAACAAGGUUUGGUUGCACAACCAAGUGCAAGUGGUUGCCGCGCACUCCCGGCGCCAAGACUUCUAGACAAAUCGCUGCAUCUCCUUUUGAAAAGGCGGUUGAGGUGUAAUUUUUUGUCUGCCAAUAUCUCCGCGACAUUUCUACUUACAGCAUCGGCCACGACGUUUCGCUUUCCGCGGUGGCUAGAGAAUCCGGUGAAAUUUCAUAUCUUUGAGCAAUCUAACCCCGCACUGGCGCAGUUUAGUCCUUCUGGAUUGAUAAGUAUUUGGCUUUUAUGGAUCGAUGUUAGAUCUCACAUGUUAUCAUAACGAAGUAAUUGCCUCACAAUUUUACGUGAAAACAACGCGCUUAGCUCAAGAUCGUGAGGUCGGGUAGUUCUUUUAUAAUCUUCAACUGAUUGCAUGCGAGCAUAAGUAUGACUCGGGCGUUUUGCUUAAGCACACCCGAGACGAUGUAUGAAAGCAUUCACUGUAUUACGACAUAACUCUCUCCGGCCUCAGCAAAGCAAGACCGGAGUAGAGAUUGUAGUCUAUUCUUUAGCUCGCUCAAAGCUCCUACUCAACUCGGUGGCUCAAACAUAUGCACCCCUUUGUGCGUUAAGGCGCAGUUAAGUGAGUUGUUAUCUUAGCAAACCCUCCACUAGACGCCAGGCAGCUAGCCGCAAGUCCAAGAAAGCUACGAAUUUUCGCCACACUUGUUGGGCCAGGCCAACUAUUAUCGCUUACUUUCUUUGUGGUCCACCGAGUAUGCCAUCUCGGAUACAACGUGACCCAGAGUAACCUCGGAAGCCAAAACUCACAUUUCUUUAGUUUUUCAUAAAGCUUUUCCUUCCGAGUAUCUCCAAUACGAGUCUUAGAUGCCUCCUCGUCGUUCUUCUGCGUGUCAGAGAAUAUACACAAUACGGUUUGUUCAAUGGAACCACGACUGCACGAAGUACAAUAGCGGACGAGACUUCGGUUCAUUAGGUCCAUAAAUGCCGCGGGCAUUGAGUGAGCCGAAAUUGGCUAUGGAUGGGUAACUCAUAAUGGCAUACGCCGUGACGGUACGCCGUUUUAUGUACGUCAUUUGAGGUCGUAUCUUUUCAACGGAUGAUACCCCGAUUGAGAAUCAAAUUUUUGAAUUUAGCCUCUUACCCUUGCCAACUGUCGAAUAAUGUCAUCAAUUCGACAACGGAUAUUUGUUCUGAUCGUCGACUCUAUUCAACUCGCGUUAGUCAGCAGAGUCGCAGCUUGGUGCCGUUCUUCUGUAAUUCUUUAACAAUAGCCGGAGCUCCCACAGAGGACACCCUCCCGGGCCUACAAUCAUUAUCGGGCCAGUUUCCAACUGGACGCUUUCCAAACUCUUUUGCUUCACGGUGCAAUUCUAUCAACCGCAGCCCUUCGAAAUUUUCGGUACCGCCCCGGGAACGGUCAAUGUCCAUGACAAACUCGACUUUCUCGAUCGGGGUCAAUCCCGGUAACUCGCACCUAAAAUAACAUCUGGAUGCUCACACGUAUCAACCCGAAGAUACUCUCCCAGUUCUGCCGUGUACUCUUUCCGGACAGUCUCGAUGGUCGCCCAAAUCAAGCUUGCACCUGUAAAUUACACUGAACUUUUGCAAAUUGCGAAGUGUUCGGUGUGUCAGGAAUGAGCCACUCGUGGAUCUAUCCUACGAUUCUAGGCUUGGACAAGUUUUUGUACAAGUUAUGAGAAUGAUUGGGAUGGCCAAAAGCAAGAAAGGUUGUUUUUGAAUCUGUCGCGAAAAUCAGUAGUUUUUCUGCUUGGUGGUACCGGUGUCGCGCAUCAUUUGUGUACCAGAUACACAGUGCAGAAACAUGGCAAGCAGGGUUAAUUUGGGUAAAUUCCACACCUUAUGUUAUCUUCUUAACCCCCUGCACGACUCAGGCUAAGGGAAGGUUUGCUGUGGCGCUCUCAGGGAAAGCCUCUUUCACCUUAUCACUCUCUCUCUCUAGGGUUUUUCUCUCUUUAUCUAGAAAUCGUACGAUUUGCGCCGUUUGUCGCAUGCGGUGGUUCUUCGCUGGUUGCGACUGUCGGGAGUUAGUGGACGUGUGGAGGAGUGUUUUUGAAGGUUUGUUUGCAGCUCUGAACGAUAGGGUGGGGUGUGGUUGAAGCUUGAGAAGUGUAAUCACUCAAUUUUUAUUCCCUCAAUCGAGAAAUGUCUAAUAGUCGAGAUGGGUGCUGAGAUUUUGGGUUUUUUGUUCCAGCUGAUGAGAAAAGUGGAUUUUGCCAUAUAACAGGGUCAGAUAUCGUAGAUUAAUAUCAGUUGGAUUGAUGUUUAGGCCUUAAGAAUGGUAAAUAAUUCUUUCUUUCAUUGUUGUGGGCACUAAUUCAACGAUAAAGGCUGAGUUUUUCGGGUCGCUGUUUCGCAGAGUUUUUCGAAUUAAAUUGAGCUUAUUUGGUGACUUGGGGAUUGGUUUAGAAGGUGUUCUUAACCUGAGGUAAGCAGGAAUUUUCAGUCUAAAACUGAAUUUAUAAGAAUUUGACUAUAUAGCUUAUAUGCAAGCAUAUUUAAGGCCGUUUAGUGUUUGUUCGCAGCGAGAGUUGCUACGACCUUGGGAUACCUUCACGUUGGCAUUGGAGAGCAUUAGUAAGGCUACUUGAGGUAUUAAGUAGCCACAAACAGGAUUUAGUUAUACUUCGUAUAAGUGCAAGAUACGAAAUUGGACAUUUUGGAUCGUAUGUUUGAUACGGUUUUGAAUGCAUUAUUUUCAGCAGGCUGGUAGGCUUGUUUGAGCUGAAUUUCGGGACUCUUGUGGACUGGAGUUUGAGCCUCAGUAAUAGGUUGGUUUGACCUAACGAGGAGGCAAGUGAAGCGCCCCCUUAUGUUCUUAUAUGUCCUAUAGAUUUGGUAUGUUGUGCUUCUUUGAUGGUGUGAUUAGGACUUGAGUCUAGUCACUAUGACUAUAUGUCGAUUACAUAAUUUGGAUUUGAGAUCUCUUGAAAUAGAGACAUUUAUGCAUACAGGAGUCUUUAUGUUCAUGUUUAAUUCAGUUUGAAUGACUAUAUGGACAAGUUAUAUGUUCCGGAGAACUAGGAACAAUGACAUUCUAUGACAUUUAUUCGAUUAUAAAGUAUAGUAAUAAUGACAUGCUUGGACUAUUAAUAAUAAUUGCCAAUGUCUGAAAAUUUCUAAUGCAUUUGUAUUAUUAGCAUUACUCUCACAUGUUUAUUAUCUGUGUGAUACUAGCUAUUGGUCAAUAUUCGUUUUAUAUUGAAAUUCGAUAAAGGAUGAGGAGUGAGAACAUUAAGUUAAAUCGUGAGGAUUUAAACAGUUGGACUAUCGACCUUGUUGCUUCCAUCAUGCUCGAUUGACAUGCUUGUGAGGGUCGGCUUUUUUCUUUUCUUUUAAAAAAAAAAAAAAGGGGGGGGCCCGGCACUCGAGUUGGCCUACGCGACAGUUGCUCGCCCGUGCGUGGGAUUGGUGCGAAGUGGAUUGCGGUGGAGUGUAUAUUACCACAGGACUUUAGGCGACAGCGCCUUACACUUGAAAGCUAGCUUACAUCAAUGGACUUUUAUGAUUGCAUUUUCUUAACCAUAUGAAACUGAUAGCAGCACAUUUUUUUUCUAUUAUAAUUACAAUUUCUUAACCAUUUGGAACUAAUAGCAGUAUUUUGUCCAUUGCUUCUCUUUAUGCAGCAUAUUCAUAUCACAUUUUUGUUUCGACAAUGAUGCAUAAAAAGGUAGUAGAUGUAAAUGGUAGGGAAGAAUGGACCAAUCCCACUGCAGCCACAGUUUUAUUCUAAACCUUUUUACAUCUGAGCCAUCUGAAAUCGAAAUUGCCACUUCAUAAUCCAGCAUUUUUAGAUUGUGUAAAUUAACAUGCAUAUUAGAAUGUUCAUUCUUUCUAAAAAUUGCUUUUUAUUUUUUUGUUGGAUUGUAGUGAUGACUCAGUUAAUCAAUCGCCGAGUUUUUAGAUCUCCAACUGUGGCGAAUCUCAUGGCAUUCUUAGAUGAAGAGGAAGAUUAUUGGGAUGAGGUGCAAGUUAUGUUUAUCAACGAAGGUGUCUUUGAGUUUCAAAAUACCUUGUAUAAGAGACCAUGUCACACUAGACCGUUCACUGGUCACCAACUAAUUAUGGACAUAUUGCGGGGGCAUCCUGAUAGAGGGUGUCAACAUUUUCGAAUGUCGAAUACUACUUUUUUGAGACUUCGAGAUGAAUUGGUUGGGAAGGGGUUGAUACAAGGUACUCGAAAUCUUACUAUCGAUGAGCAGCUUGGCAUAUUUUUGUUUGGUGUAGGCCAUGGUGUGACGAACAGAGUGUUGGCUGAAACAUUUCAGCACUCAGGGGAGACUGUUAGUAGAUAUUUUAAUAAUGUGUUAAAUGGUGUGGUCGAGCUUAGGCACGAAUAUAUCCAGUUGCCAAGAAGUAAUGUGGGAGUGCACCCAAAAAUUAGAGACAAUCCAUUAUUUCAUCCAUUUAAGGUGAUUUGAAUAUGAACUUUUGCAAUAUUUGUUAAUUAGUUAUAAUAUUUUUCACUUAUUUGAUAUCUUCAUUAUUAAUCGCAGAAUGCAAUUGGUGCUAUAGAUGGGACGCAUAUACCGGUAGUCGUAAGAAAGAACAAGCAACCACGAUAUCAUUGUCGUAAAGGAUAUACAUCGCAAAAUAUGAUGGUUGCGUGCUCGUUUGACCACCAGUUCUUAUUCGUCUGUACCGGGUGGGAGGGAUCGGCAGCUGAUAUGAGGGUGCUACGUUGGUGUUGUGAAAGUGGGGGUUUCAUAGUUCCUGAAGGUAGAGUAAUUUUUUAAUUUCGUCAUUUUCCAUUGUGCUAUUUUAAAUUAACAGUUCGUUUUUUUAUAGGAAAAUUUUACUUGGUGGAUUCUGGUUAUGCAAACACUGAUCGAUUCCUCGCACCUUUUAGAGGAGAGCGCUACCACCUAAGCCAAAUUGGUGGCAAUGCAAGGGCGCGCACACAUCGAGGGCCUCGAGAUUUAUACAAUCAUAGGCAUGCCCAGCUUAGAAAUGUUGUUGAGAAGGCUUUCGGCAUCUUGAAGAAACGAUUCAAGGUGCUUCGCCAAGCAACUCCUUUUCCGUACAAGGUACAAUGUCGCAUAGCCUUAGCAUGCUGUGUAAUCCACAACUUCAUCAAGAGGCACCAAGGGAGCGAUAGAUAUUUUAAUAUGCAAAUGGAGCCAAAUCCACAUGACGACCAAGACGAGGAUCCUAUACGUAUGGUUGGCAUAGAUGAAUCCCGACGAGGCGACGCCCUUCGUACUAUGAUCACAGAGCAAUUAUGGAAUAAUAGAUAGGAUGCAAUAUCUUGGACUAUAUAAUUUUAAUAUUUCAUUUUAUUAGAGGACAUUUCCGUUCACAUAUUAGUAUUUGGCUUUGAUAGUCAAUAUGAAGCUAGAAACUAUUGUUUACGUCUGUUUGUGUUUUUUUUUCUCAAUGAACUUGUGUUGUUUAUUAUGUUUAUAUAAUUUGUAUGAUCUUUUUUUUGAAUGAACUUGUGUGUUGAUUAUGCUUACAUAAUUUGUAUUAGCCAUUAGGAGGUUAACCUAUAUAUUGAUGAUAAUUAUCAUUCAAUAACGAUGUGGAGUUUUUCUGCUAUUUAUGGCCCUACGACAUUGUAGUUUUGAAACCACGUACAAUUGGGGGCAACUAAUCCCUCUUAUGCAAUUUGUGGACCUAUAUUAAUGUAAUUUUAUUAGUUGUUCAAUUUAUAACAACAAAUUUAUUGUAUUAUAACCUUCAUUACAAAUUUAGCGUUAAUGUAGUAUCUAGACGACUAGAAUUUUUGACAGAAUAUCUUUCCUACUGUAAUGCAAUGUUUAAACCUAUAUUUCAUAAAUGAUUAUUUAAUUUUUUAAAAUUAAAAAAAUAAUUAUGUAGUAUUGGGCCAUCUAUUAGUUAGUUUUGGCAUUUAUGUUGUCAUGCUUAUUUAAUUUAGCACUCCAUUUUAUAUAUAUUUUUUUAUCAUAUUUAUUAAUUUAAUAAUUUUUCAAAUUUUAUGAAAAUUAUUAUAAGUUAUAUUGUGCAGUGCCUAUAUAUUCAAUAUUUCCUACAUUAGAGUAACAUAGAAGGGCCAACUUGGAAUUUUUAAAAAUUUCAAUCUACUUUUGUUCUUAUUCUUUCUAUUCUCUAGAAAAUAACCAAAUAAUAUUUUAAUUAUUCCAUAGAAUAAGAAAGUGUCAGACCAAACAAAAAAUUUCUUUUAUUCCUCUAUAUCCUAGAAUAUAAAAUAAUUUCAAGAAUAUAAAUAUUUAUCCCUCUGAAUAUUAUUCUAUUACCAAAUAUAGCCUAAUAAAACAGUUGUAAAGGUUAAUAGAACAUUCUUAAUUGUUUUAUGGUUGUGAACACUCUUAACAGUUGUAUAUGUUAUUUUUGCGAUUAAUAGAUAUUCUAUUAUGCAUAGCAUUUAUAUGUUUGCAUUCAAAGAAAUAAAAAUUAAAACAUGAUAAGAGUGUUCUAUUAUAUCAUAAUAGUGUCAAACUGUAUAUAUUAUGCAUUCAUAGGAUGAACAUAAUUAAUUUAUUUUCUAAUUACUUUUAAAAUGAAGUUAUGUGCUGACUUGUGGUUCAUAAAAUGCAGGUGAAAAUAUGAUUUCCACCAGAGCGAAGUCGGGCAAGAAGGCCACUACAAGCGGUGAAGGCACAUCUACGCAUUCUACAGAGAAAAUAAAAGAGAGGUCAUCGAAAGCUAAAAGGCCGACCAUGGAGCUUGUUGUGGGCAGAUGUUACCCAGUUCGUCUGCACACCACAAUGUGUGUUUCAGAGUUGCCGAAGACUGCAGGCAGAAUUCAAACAGCUGGCCCAGCUUUACGUGAUGUAAUGUCCGAUGAACAGAUGGCACUCUUGAAGACCACGCCAUUCUUUUCUUAUCUCGACUUGCCUCCAAUGAAUCAAGAUCUUUUGUUAGUUGAUUCCCUCCUGAGUUUUUGGGACGAAGAGAGAAAAUGUAUUAGAAUUGGAGAAACCUUUCUUCCCUUUAGUCUAGAGAAAAUAUCAAUUUUGGUAGGGCUGCCAGCAGAGGGGGAACCAAUAGAAUGGCAGAACAAGAGUGUAAUGUCGAGUACUGUUGAUAAAUACUUCAAUGAUGACUAUCGGCAUGCCGAUAGGUCGAAAUUAAGACAUUUUGUACAGUAUUGCUGGUCAGAAUGGAGCGAAGAUGGCAGCUGAUUUUGUGCGUAUAUUUAUAUUAUACGUAUUUGCGACCGUCCUUUUCCCUACCAGCCACUAUAAUGUGCCGAAAGCACUAUAUAAACAUAUAGAUGAUGUACAUAGAAUAGGAAAAUAUGUCUGGAGUCAUGCUGUAUGUAAUUAUCUUGUAAGUUCGAUCUCAAGAGCAUCCCCACGUGUGAAGCAUCGGAAUAGCGGCCAAGAAAGACUUGAUGGCUAUAUCGACGGGUGUACAAUAGUAUUUUUGGUAAGUAAUAUCAUAAAUUAGUAUGUCAAUAGAAUUUCUUUUGCACAUUUUUUUUAUGAUGAUAAUAAUAUUAAUUCUUGAUAAACUUACAGAGUUGGGCUUACGAGCAUAUAUAGAAUUAGGCUACUAUACUAUCUAUAGUACUGGAGCUCCGGUACUAUAGUCUUGUCUUCGAUCUUAUGGUGUUCAAAUUAACGAUCCACAUCGUUAAAUAUGAUCUAGGGUAUAUGAAGUUCUUAGAAAUAAAAUUUUAGUUUUUUUCGACAUCGUUUACUUAGUAAAUAAAUUAUGUCAAAAUGGACAGUGGAAAUUGAAUAUUUUUUAAAAUUUGAGCAUAGGACUUAUAAAUUCAAGAUCAAGAAUAUUAACCUUAAUCUAGAUAGUUUAAAGUAUUUUCUAUCAAAAUUUAAAGAAAUUUAGAUUCUUCCACUCUGUUAAACUCCAAACUCGCCAUAGUAGCCAUUAAAAAUUGACAAUUUUGAAAAGGUUUGAUCAUAAAGUAAACUAUGUCGAAAAAUAUAAAAUUUUAUUUCUAAAAAUUUUAAAUAGCCUAGAUCAGUUUUAACGGUGUGGAUCAUUGAUUUGAAUACUCUAAGAUCGAAAACGGGACUAUAGUACUGGAGCCCCGGUACUAUAGAUAGUAUAGGAGACUAGCUCUAUAUAUAUAUAUAUAUCUAUUAACCUAAAUGAAACCAUAAUGUUUCUUGCCACGUGGCAAGAAAUCCUUCAUCCUCAUAAUAAUAAUAAUAAUAUAUAAUAUAAUACAAUAAUUUAUUAACUCCUCUCCUAUAUGAUUUAUUAAUGUUUCAUCAAUUGAUUUUAUAUUAACGUUUCAUCUAUUAAUUUUAUUUUUUUUGUAAUAACUCUCUCUCCCCCAUCCCUUCCCCUCCCCUUUCCUUCCCAACUAUACGUUCUUGGCCGUAUAGUAUAUGAUUCAUUAAUAUUUCAUCAAUUAUUUGUAUAUUAAUGUUUCAUCAAUUAAUGAUAAUUAUAAUCGUAAUUGAUUACUAGACCAAUUAUUCGUAGCCACCGUUUCAUUCUUUCAUUUUGUUAAUUUUUUUAUAAAAUUUUAAAAUAUAUUUACCUAAUAUGUGAAAUAAUUAGAUUUUAAAUUUAGGCUCUUAGUAUCAAUCAUUACAAGAUUAAUUCUAUUUGAAUAUUCUCGCGUCGAUCCUCCUCUACACAUAUCACCUUUGCAAUCUCGAUGACACCGAUCCCAUCCGUGAGUAUUUUUUUUCAAAUAUAAUAAUUUUUUUAUAUAGAUUUGAGUGAUUUGGUGAGAAUUAGUAAUAUUUUGAGGUUAAUUAGAAUUUUUUUGGUUCAAUUUGAGCGAUUUGGCAUGAAUAGAUGACAUUUUGAAAUGCUAUAUGUUAUAGAAAUGCUAUAUGUUAUUUGCACAAUUAUUAUUCGUACUAUAUUACACAUUCCAGACUAAAUGAAUGAAUAAUCUACAUUGUAUAUAUUAGUAUAUUUCUAUAUACUCUAAUUAGGAUUUAUUUAAAAUAUUUUUUUUUCCUGUUGCAUCGAUUGCUAUAUAAUUGUCUAUAUUGUACCCUUUUUGAUAUAGUAAUAUUUUAUUUAGUUAUAUUAAUAUUUUAUUAUUUAUAAAUUUUUCACUUUAGCAGUAACUAUCCGCUGCAUCGCGCGGGUGCCUACACUAGUAUAUAUAUAUAGAGUGAGGCUACUAUGCUUCUGGAAGCACGGAGCCUUCCGUGCUUCCAGGUCGUUUUGAUGUUGCGACUUUCGAAUCGUCGAUCGGCUCCGUUAAACUUGAUCUAGAGUAUUUGAAGUACCUAGAAAAUAAAUUUUAUGAUUUUUCGGUAUCAUUUGCCUAGUGAUCGAAGGGACUCAAAAUUAAUAAUUUUAAUGGUCGUGAUGAGCCGUUUGCAAGUUUAACAGUGUAGAAAUAUCCAAAUCACUUGAAAUUUUAAUAGAAAAUUUUUCUACUAUAUAAAAAAAGAUCAAUAUCUUUGAUCUAAAAUUUUAAUGUCAUAUUAUCACGUUUUGUAAGAUUUAUAUUUUUAGUCGUUGAUUUUGAGCCCCUUAGUUCACUAGGCAAAUGAUAUCGCAAAAUUACAAAAUUUAUUUUCUAAGUACUUCAAAUAUUUUAAAUCAAGUUUAACGGAGCCGAUUGACGAUUCGAAAGUCGCAACAUCGAAAACGACCUAGAAGCAUGGAAGGCUCCGUGCUUCCAGAAGCAUAGUAGCCUCACUCUAUAUAUAUAUAUAUAUAUAUAUAUAUAUAUAUAUAUUUGAAUAAGUUAUUGAAAACUAAGUUAUUCGGUAUGAGUAUUUUUUUUAAAUGCUGAGUUUGCAAUUUCAUACUAAAAAUUUUAUCUAUCAAAUACUAUAUGAGGCCGUUUUGUCAGAUGUAUUUGUAAAUACAGUGUAGUUGGAUAUGUAUGUAGUUAAAAAUAUAGUAGUUAUAAUUACUUGUACAUUAUUUAGUUGGAUGAAUUAGAAAGCACAAUGAUUAUAAAUGAUUCAUUUACGUAAUACGGUUGAGAAGUACAAUUUACAAAAUUUUAUUUUUUUAUAUAUGAGUAGUCACAUUAAUAUAAAUAGGAAAAAAAUUAUUUUUCGCUUAAAAGGUUACUACGAAAAGAUAACAUUACCGUUUAUUUAAAAUUACUUUCUCCAUCCGUUGCAAUUAGAGCUGCGGUCAAUUUAGAUUUAGUUUCAACUGUUGUAGGCGAGUCUCCUAUGCAAUUCCAACUGUAACACUUGAAAUGAAAUAAAUCAAAUCAGAAUAAAAGAUUUAGUUUAUACGCAGAUACCACUGCAGUAAAGUUUAACUAUGCGCAACCAAAGCUAUGUGAAUGAGAAUAAGAUAUAUUUGUGAGACAAAAGAUAAUUUUAUAUAACAUGUUUUCCCUUUGCAGGACCGUAUUAUUAAUUAAAAGAAUGGUAAAUCUUUAUCGUAAGAACACGGGGGGGGAUUUAUUCUUCUCGGAUGACUCGGGUCGUUUUAUUCCUCCUCCACGGAUUGAUGCCCAACGAAUCAUAAAUCAUAAUCAAACCGAGAAUAUCGAAUACGCUUUGUAAUAAUAAUACUCGCCGGCAGGUUGAUCAGUCGAGGGAAGAAUUAGUUCCCUUUUUUCGUUCGUCUUCCGCUCCUCCCUUCCUGCGCUUCUUUCGACCGCCCGCCCGCCCGCCCGCCAGCCCGCGCGCCAUCUCGCGAAAUGGACGGCGCGACGGGCCCGGUCCACCUGCCGACGGUGCUGAUCACGAACGACGACGGGAUCGACGCCCCCGGCCUCCGCUUCCUCGCCGACCUCCUCGUCGCCGCCGGCCGCUACCGCGUCCUCGUCUGCGCCCCCGAUUCGUCCGUCCUCCCUUCUUCCGUCUCCCCUCCCAUCUAUCUAUCAGCUUAGUUUGUUUAUUUCUCUUUUCCUUUCUUUUUUUCGGAGAGACAAAAAUAGCAUACAUUUUUUCUUUAAAAAAUAAAUAUAGCUGAAAAUAUUAAAGCAAUUAUAUUUCAAACUUGGAUAUGCACUUUCGAUACCAAAUACCAAUCAUCAAACUUUUUGCCACUUGCGCUUUUGUUAAGACAAAUUCCGAGCGAUUUCCUGGUAAAUCAAUCUUAAAGUCUCCUCUGUUCCAAGAAGUUCUUAGUUUGAUUCUGUAUGUUUUUCCUUGAUAUCCACCAUGCACGUGAUUGCGAGUGUUAAAGAUAAAUUCUGAGCUGAGUUAAAUCGAUAUUUUGGGUGGCACUCUUUUCCUCCUCAUAUAAGGAGGAAUAUGCUUUGUAGAGCAAAAACCAAUCUGGAGGAUCGACGAUUACAUUUAUAUUUCUUUUUGAAACUUUUUAAAGUUUAUGCGAUUAAUGUCAUGUUAGGUAAGUCUGAAACCUGAGAAAUGACUAGUUCUCAGAUGCGCCUGAUAUCUUCUUGCAAGAAGGUUUUAUUUUAGAUAAAAGUGUCGCCUCAAUUAUUGGCCACUUUGGAAUAUAGACCACUCUUUGUUUAUUUGCUUGCUUCGAUUUUGGUUAUUAUUGUCGAUUGAAUUGCAGUUUCUAUUUAAACAACGGUGCUGUCAGCCACAAGCCUGCCGAAUCUGUCGUUCUGUCAGCUCGAAAAUGAUAAGAUCGUGAUGUUUAACAUAAUUACCUUUAUACUUGAUGAAAUCUCCAAUUCAACUGGUGGAACCAACUCAAAUUAUCAAUCAAAAGGGAAAAAUAAAAAGUUCUAAGUGGGUCUAUUUCAAAUGGCUUAUGGUUGAGGGGUUCUCGGUACAUUUAUGCCUUUAUUGUGUUGUCCAUUCAGUUAGUAGGCGAUAGAUGUCUAUUGCCGAACUUAAUAACUAUAUGUAAACAAUUAGAUCAGGAAUUCCGUGCGCUACUUUAACUUGCUAAAUAUUAUUUCUCAGUUUGUUCACAAAUUGAUUUUUUCUGUAAACAAUGGUUCGGCUUCCUAUUAUUUUAUUUUCAGGGACAAGUCGGGUGUCGGUCAUGGUGUUACAUGGCGUUAUGCGCUUAGUGCCAAGCGCGUUGAAAUUGAAGGGGCUACAGCUUUUGCAGUUUCAGGUUCAUCUUGCAGUGUUUAAUCAUUAUUAUAGAUUAUCAGUGUCAUAUUUUUAUAAGCACAGUUUAAUUUGAAAUUCUAUUUGUAAGAAAAUUUUCUUGGAUUUAUCUAAUGAUAUAUAUUCAAAUAAAUUGAGCAAGCCAACCUCACAAAUUUCCAAUUUCAGGUGAUUAUGCCAGUUAAGUAUCAUUAAUUUUACUGAUAUUUCGAUUAAGGUUGGAUGAUCGACUGAAUUCAUAUGGGCUUGAAGAAAUACUAACUGGCUUGUUCUUGACCUGAAAUACUUGGUAUUCCUUUGGAGUUUAUCUUUCUUUGGAAGUUCAAUACACUUCUGGUUCUUCAUGUGCUUACCUCCUUCUACUUGAAGUUUUGACUUGCUGAGUCUGCACAUGAAUAAUUUGUUGGUAGUCAAUCAAACAGGAAGAGAUAAUCCACUUGGCUGUGAGUGAUUGCUGACUUGCCUCGCCGUUAAAUGACUAUUUUCGACAUACUCCAUUUAGACAUAGCAUUUUUAGUACUUAGGCAAUUAAAUUCCAUAAAAAAAUGUAAGAUAUUUCAUGUUAGCCAAUAUCUUCUUGAAGUUUAUUGAGGUUUCACAAUUACUGAUGGAAAAGACGAGAGUUUUGAAUUCCUAAUUUGAACCAGCUCAUAGACAUUCAAGAAAAUUGGAUAUAUUUGAAUGUUCAUUUCCCUAGAAAGGACUAGGCUGUCGUGUGAUGAUUGACUAAAGGAAGUUCCAUUAUGUAGCUAGGCCACUAAAACCAUUUGGAUGGAAAUAUCACAUGCUUUAUUGUCCGCUGCAUGAUUACCUUUCUCGCAUCCUUUCUCUCCUUUGUGUGGGCAUCAAUGCAUCAUCAUGUUUGAGGCAUUGGUCCAAAGAGAUUGUUGUCAUGAUAGGAUAUGCUUUGUAAAACUCAAAUUCUUCAUGAGCCUGCUUCUUAGAUUUCCUCUUGCUACUCAAGAUAAUCCUGUUGGUACGUCAUUCUUUUAGGUGUUAUUUGUUAGUCAAAAAGUAGUAAGUCAUUGCGAGAUUAAUCAUAGCAUAGAUUUCCAUAAACAGAGGGGAUAAUUCAUGUCAUCCUUUGAAGGUUGUUCACAGACUCUAUUUUCUCCUUUCUGACAACUUUUGCUGCUCUACACUUGAGUGACAUUUUGGACAUUUUCUAGCCACCUAUAACAAAUCAGCGUAUUCAUAUGACUUCCUCUUUAUUAGGUCUGCAUCUAUAUUUCUUUUUUUAAUUUUGAUUUGCUCACUUGUAACAAUAUUAUUUUUCUCUUUUGUCUUCCUAAGAUUGUCUACGCGACCGUUGUGAUAGAAACAUUGAUGUUUUAGAACAUAAAUAAUUUGCUAUUCAAGCAGGUUGAUUUAUCAGUCUGUUUGUUGGUGAAAAUAGAACUCAUUCUUUUCUACAAUAUGAACAUCUAGUUAUUAUUUAUAUUAAAAGUAAGUCAAAAUAAAUAAUUUCAUGAGAUCUGUAAGAAUGUGUGAAUAGUGACAACUUGUCAUUCAUGUUUGACGCAUCAAUCCCCAAAAAAAUAUUUUUGAGUAAAUUUUUGGGAUUAGAAUUAUAUGCUUUGAUUGAGCGUAAAUAGCAAGAUUUUAAGUACCCGUCGGCACGGGCCGUAUCCACCGUGCCGUACCGUACCAACAAGAUAACGGCACGAUACAGACCUCGUGCCGAUGGCACAGCUCAAAACCCUCUAUUCUUUAAAUUAGUAAGUAAUUUUCUCAAUAAAGUGCAAAAGAUGUGAUAAAAACACAUAAUAAAUAGUUAGAAUAUUUUGUUGCUAAAGAAAAUAAAUAUUUCAUGCUAUUAUGUGUCGGCACACAAGAAUUUUUUUGACCGGCACGCAUCGGCACGGCUCGGCAUGUACCGUGCCGUACCGUGCCGGCAAGUUUCCAGCACGAUCCCGUGGCACGGCAUUUAAAUCCUUGGUAUAUGGGAUUACAUUGGUCACCUUAACAUGCUUGUUGACCGUAAAAAACCAAUGUUUCAAAAGGUAGUAUGCGGUAUCCAUAUGGUUACCUAACGCAUAACGCUUAUGCGGUAUCCGGACGCAUAUGUGGUCCAUCGAUUAAAAUAUUAAUAAAAUAUAUAUAGGUGUAAAAAAAUAUAAAAUACUUCCUAACAAAGCUAAAUAACUAAACUAACAAUUCAGAAUUCACAAAUUAAAAUAAUUAAUUUUCAAGUAAAUCACCUCAUCACUAAACUAUAUUCUUAAUUAUUAAAUAGAGAAAUAAAUAGAAUUUUGAUGUAAAAUCAUCACAAAUGUCGAACCAAAAUCAAUGUUCUAAAAAGCGGUAUGCUAAACUUUUAUGAAAAAUAAUAAUUUUUUCAAUAAAUUGUCAUUCACAUUAUUUGAGGGGCCAACACUUAAAAAAAAACCAGUAUAAUAACAUCUAACAACUACAAAAUUAUUCACACACACACAUGUAUAUAAAGAUGUCAUUAGAUAGAUUAAGAAUAAUGCAUACUAAAUUAAGAAAAGAGAGACUUAGGUUAUAUAUAUGAAGAAAAUUGCUUUUAUAUGCAUUAUUAUUACUUAAACUUGUAUGUUAUAUGUAUAUGUAUAAUUAUUAAUCAAACAAUCCCAUUCAAUAUUGUAUUUCAAUCCCAUCUUAAUACCGUAUAUUCGGCCGCCUAUUGCAUAUGGGCCACAUAUGCUGUCUGAUCGCAUAUUGCAACGGAUAUUAUAUAUGCGACAUGGUUUAUGAUCCGAACUGCAUAUGCGGCCACAUGGACCGCUUUUUGGAACAUUGAAAAAUUUACUCCAUUACUUCAAGAUUAGAUUCCUAAUUUUCCUAUCUCAAAUAGAUUAGUUGGUCAAAAUUCUUGUUCUAGUUAUACUUCUCUUAUUUAGUUUUGCAUGUUUAUGAUAAUGUUAUGUAUUUAUCUACAUGCAUCAACAUGCAUCAUGCACCAAGUUCUUAUUUCGAUAUGUUUUCAUAUAUUUAGGAACUCCUGCCGACUGCGCUUCUCUGGGAAUCUCUGGGAAACUCUUUCAGGGUGUGAUUCCUGACCUGGUAAACUCUUGGUUGAUAGACAAACAUUCUCAUUAAUUCCAUUAACAUACUUUAGUGUGCAGAAUAUAAUAGUCCUCCUUGUAUGUUGAUUCUAGUGUUAAGUUGAUUGUGCUUUUAGGUUGAGAUCAAGAUAAAAUUUAUCCAAAAGCUGCAUUAUUUGUUUAGAUGUCCUUGCAAAUCACUAAUUUAGUCUUUUCCUUGCUUCAGGUAAUCAGUGGCAUUAAUGUUGGCAACAAUUGUGGAUAUCACAUGUUAGUUACUUCAUUUUUAACCUUUAUAAAGCACAAUCUUUGUAUUAGUAGAACGUGUAUAACUCUUUUUCUGUUGUAGUAGGCAAGGAUUUAAGAACCGUGGCAUGGGGUUGUGCUGAAAAUUUGCUAGCACGGUACAGCAUUGUGCGUGCCAUGCUGUGCUAAUGUGUGACGGUCACAGAGAACAUAGCUAUGUGCCGACAUACAAUGGCAUGAAAUAUUUAUUUUCUUUAGGACCAAUAUGUUCUAAUUAAUUGUUAUAUAUAUUUAUCAAAGAUUUUGCACUUUAUUAAGAUAACUACUUGCUAAUUUCAAUGAAAAGAGGGUUUUGAGCCAUGUCAUUAGUAGGGGGGUCUUAUUGUGCUAAUAUCUCGGCACGCUAAGCACGGUAUGGCACAGUGAGCAUGGCCCGUGUCAAUGGGCACCUAAAUCCUUGGUAAUAGGAAAUGAUCUUCUUUGUCAUUUAACAAAAUCUUAUAUCAAUUCUUGGUCAUAUGCUGAAAUUUUCCUAUAUUAGAUUUCUGCUUGUGGGAUAUUAUGAUUUAUGAGCCAUAGAUGAACCAAGGGGAUAUGGUUCUUUAAUUAGAUGCAGGAUAGUACAUUCUUGCAGACAAUCACUAUUGUAGGCUGCUUGUUUUUCUUGUCUGGAGGAUGAUUUCUAUCUUCUCAUAUAUUGUAGAAUUUUGGUCAACAUCUUAAUUGAUUCAUAAAUGAAAGAAUUGGAUCCAAAUAGCUGAACCCAAAUGGAUAAGACUAAGGCUUUAUUUCAGUAGAGCCUCUAGUAUCAAAUGAUACAUCUUCUUUCUCUAGAGUCUUCUCGCUUCCAGCAAAAUUUUGCUUGGUCAUUCUUUGGUUGCUGAGCAUAAACUGCAAUCAACAUGGAGAUUCUUCUUUCUGGAAUCUGGUCUUACAGGUAUCAGAUUGCUAGCUAAUUGUAUUGUUUCAAUCUUUCCAUGGAGCCUCCUCCACAGAGUGUUAUGGGCAGAGCUAAUAGUCAAAAUGGUUUUGAUGGUAUGACUAUAGUUUAAAUCCAUAAUGUUUAUAGUGCAUUCACUUUGUUUCACCAAACUGAAUCUUAAUUGCAAUUUCAUUCGUCUUUCUCUUUCUUGUUGUUUUUUAGUUAUGUUCUGCUCAGGCUUGACAUAAACACUAUGAUUCUAUUUAUUCUUUAGGGCCUGUUUGGUCACUAGGCAAAACAAUUGCAUUGUCUAGAAAAAUUUUUAGAGCGGCCUUGCUACAAAGUAGGAUUUCUCAAGGAAGGAAUACCUGAUUUUCAAACUAUUUGGGUCCUUAACAGAUGAUCUUUUCCUACAUUUCUGGAAUUUCAGAUUCAUAUCCACGAUCAUAAACAAGUCAUGAAAAUUCUUAUAGCUAUCUGAGCGAAAAUGUAGCGAACCAAAAGAGAUAUAGAGCGGAGAUUCUUAUAGUUUUCCGAGCAAAGGUGUAGGGAAUCCAAAGAAUAAAGGAGACAACUGAUUAUACAUUAAAAACUAUCUACUCAGAAGGGAAUAGAGACUUAGGUUUCGAGGAGGCAAUUGAACACCUAGCUUAUUAAUCUCCCAACUUUGGUGUUGGAAUCUAUUAUCACUGUUAUAUUCUAUAUGAAAUAGAACUUCAUACAUUGAAUCACAGUUUAUAGCUUAUUAUCUUUGUAAAUAAUCUUCAGCACUUACUUGGCUCCUUCACCCACUAGCCAACCGUUAAGGCCCCUUUUGGUUCGGGGAUAAAGCAGGGAUAACGAAAGUUAUCUAUGCUAUUUUGCCAAAUGGGACAUUUUUUGGCCGGGAUAAAAUAUCUCGGUCAAACCUUGCAAUUACCGAUUAUCUCAGGAUAGCUUGGGAUAAACUAUUCCACCCAAAUGGUAGAAUAGUGCAAUUUCAAAGUUUAAUUCCAAGCUUUAUUAAGACUAUAAAUUGAGUAAAAAUAAUUUAUGUAGAUAUAAUAUUUUACAUGUUAUAAUAAAUUAUUUUUUUAAAAGUUAUUAAGUGUACUAUAUUAAUACAUAUUAUUUGUACUUAAAUAUUAUUAUAAAUAUUAAAUAAAUAUAUGUAUUUAUAUAUUAAUAUAAAUAUUAAAUAAAUUAUACUUAAAUAUUAUAAGAUAUUAUUUUAUUAAAUAUUAUAAUAAAUUAUUUUUAUAAUAGAGUAUGUCUCCUAUGUUUUUGAAAGCACGAAGGUCUAUGAGAUAUUUUAUUCGACGAUCGGCUUCGUUAGGCAUGAUCUACACUAUUAGAACUAUCUAGAAAUUAAAUUUUAUAAUUUUUCAACAUUAUUUGCCAAGCGAUCAAAGGUCUCAAAAAUGACUAUUUAAAUUUGCUGAUGUGGCAUGUUUGUAAAUCAACAGUGUAGAACAAUCCAAAUUAGGUGAAAUUUUAAUAGAAAAUUCUCCUUACCAUCAAAAGUAAGAUCAAUACUUUCGAUUUGAAAUUUAACUCUUCUAUCACCGUUUUUUAUGAGAUUUUUAUUUUUAGCCGCUUAUUUUGAGGUUACUCGUUCACUAGGUAAACGAAGUCAAAAAAAUUAUGAAUUUUGGUUUUUAGAUAGUUUUAAUACUGUAAAUCAUGUCUAACGGAGCCAAUCGCCAAAUUAGAUGUUCCGUCAUUGAAAACAACUUGAAAUCGCGGCGGCCUCCAUACUUCGAAAGCGUAGUAGGCUAGCUCUUUAUAACAAAUUAUUUUUAUUAAAUCACAUUUUAUAUCAAAUUCAAACAUCACUUUUUUUCACUAUUCUCCUUUAUUCCAAAAUUAACCAAAUGAAAUUUUAGUUACUCUUGUAAAUGGCAGCAUUAGAAAUUAAACACAAUUUUGCUUUUAUUCCUGCUUAUCCCAAUGUUCAUUAUCCCAAACCAAAUGUAGCCUAAAAGUAUUAAUCAGUAAUUACACUUCCAUAUAUUUGAGAGACAUUAGCUAGGUACAUUUGGAACAGUGAGAUGAUAUUGAGUUUAUUACCGGUAUUUGUUGAAGAAAUAUGUAAAUAACUUUUGCUUGUGCUGCCAGUUUUGUACAUUAUGGCUAUAUGUUGAAGAGAUUGUAGGAUUGAUGAGCAUUUGUUUUUCACUUAAUGUGCAGUGUUUACUCGGGGACUGUUGCCGGUGCUAGGGAGGCCUUCUUGUAUGGCAUACCUUCUUUAGCUAUAUCAUACAACUGGUAAGUGAGAAGCUUUUAUUCCGUCUUUGUAUAUGAUAUUCUAUCUUGCUAUAUGUGAAAUAUAUAAAACAACCGUUGUACUCUAAAAGCUUAAGCUGAUAGAGAACGGUAUUUAACUAUUUUUAUAUUUAAUACUCCCCCUCACGUCUGGGCUCGAGACUUUUUGUAGGCCCAUGAUGUUGACUUAAAUUAAAUGGAAAGAAAUUAAUAGCGGUAGGAGUCUGGCGUGACUCGAACUCAAGACCUCCUGCUCUGAUACCACGUGAAAUAUAUAAAACAACCAUUGUAAUCUAAAAGUUUAAGCUAAAACGGCAAUGACAAUAAAAUAUGCUUCUUCUACUUUAGUGCUAUCCUGAGUGUGAACUAAGAGUGAGAUAGAUUGAAAAGAGAGACGAGAGGAAAUGUAGAUAUUUGAUGGGUUUACAGACCAACCUCUUAGAGCCAUCAAAAUUUAUUUCUACUUUUAGAUUUAUAAGCUUAAAUGCACAAAUUCUCCUUUACUUUUGAUCCUUGGACGAGACUUAAAUGUUGAGCUGAAUGACUGGAAAGAUUAGAUAAAGUUUUGGGUAAGAUGUUAACACUGUUAAUGACAUGCAAGGUGAAUACUGGAGAUAGAUCAGAUAAGAUGCUAAUAAUUGAUGAGCUAGUUACAUAUUGUUUCCCAUCGUUUGAUGAUUUAUUUCUUGUAAAUUGUAGAAGGUAGUUUGUUGAUCAUUUCUUGUGCCUCUAUUUGCUGCAUGUCUUAUUCUGUUGUACAUUAUGUUUCCAGGUCAAGAGGUGAGAGCACUGUUCAGGACCUAAAACUAGCCGCAGAGGUUUGCUUGCCUCUAAUAAAUGCUGUACUAAUUGAGCUGAAAAACAAGACUUAUCCUGAAGGAUCAUUCUUGAACAUAGAUAUACCGACAGAUGUUGCGCAUCACAAGGUAACCUUAAAUAUCUGGCCUUUCUCAGCAUAGCAUGCUUAGUAUAUUUAAUUUCAGUUUAGUACUAUAGAACUAUACUUGAGGGUUCUCUAUUUGUUCUUUUUCAUAUUCAGAUUAGUUCUUCAAAAUAAAUGCACCCUAACAAAUGGCUUCUCACUAAACUACAAGUUUGUUGUAGCAAAAUAGCGGUGGAUUGAGGCAAGGAUUGCCGUGCCAAUUGGCUCCAUCUAGCAUGGCCAACACAUCUUGAUGCCGCUUGUGCUGAAAAGCCUGUGCUGCCCACACUGAUCAUGUUGACAUAUAAAAUAAGAUGUGUGCUGAGGCAUGCUUGCAUGUUGUGCUGCUUGGAUAGCACACUGACAAGCCGCAUGCCAGUGGUACAGCAAUCUUUGGAUUGAGAGUAUAACACUUGAUUAUUUGAUUGUAAAAUGUCUAUAUAUUAUUGUGUAAUUGUAGUUUCGUGUAAUGAUUUUCAUAUAAAUAGGAAUAAAAUUUCAGUCAAAGCAUUCAGAUUAAGAAAGAAAAUGUGUUGGAUGCUUCUGAGAGUCUACUAUGGAUGGCACAAAAAAUUAAUUGUUAAAUCAUCUAUUCUUGAUUUUUUUUUUUAAUUUUAUUUCUUUUGGCUUAAGGUGACUAAUUUCUAUGAGUAGAUGAAAAACUUGUGCAACAUACAACUUGUUGAAAAUAUAGAUGUGGAUAAAACUACUGUUACAAUGUUUAAAACAACCAUCUUUAUUUGUACUUACAAAGUUUGACUGCAAAUUUCACACACAUUUACAGGCACACAGACACACGCAGACAUAACCAUAAUCCAUAGCUACUAUUCAUUUCUAUCUUCUUACGUUCACAUCGAACUUCUCAAACUAUUGAAGUUUGACAUAGUGCUUUUAAUCCUCAUGCUAGUCAAGAAUACUAUAACGUAAUAUUAGUGAGGAGAGUUCCACUUGUCCUUAAACCUCAUGACUUCUGUUAAAAGUUGGUUAAGAAUGUCACUUUCCUGUGAAGUAUCAAAAUUUUCAAUUGGUCCAUGUUUGAAAACCUAUAUUAAUUCAUGCACCAAAGGUUCAUUAUUCUGUAGGAUGUGAGACACCUUUUGGCAGUUUUUGUGGCUCUUCUUCAUUGUUUUAUACUUGCAUGCGCUAAUAUCUCAUGUAAGUAGUUGUGGGGGCUAGAUUUGGUAUAGAUGUCAAUGUUGUGCAUUCAAAUCCUGUAAGUGGAGUUCAACAAUUAUAUUUUGCCAUCUCAUGGAUUGCCAUGACGACCGGUGCUGUCAGCUAUUCUUAACCUAAUAUAUUAUAUUUUUUUUCCCAGUUGUUCAUUUGGAUGUUGAGUUAUUUGAAUUGUAGUAAAUUUUUUAUGUUACUUCGUUAAGCUACUGCAUUGUUUUAUUUACUUUUUGGUACAAUGAAUCUGAUAAGAGAUUUUUUUGUGAUUGUUAGCUACAAAAAAGUGUAACUAUAAUUGUUUCAUUUCUUAUACGUAUGUGCCUGUAGGGAUAUAAGGUUACAAAACAAGGAAAAUUUAUGAUCAGAAUUGGAUGGGAGCAAACAAAUUUGAGCAUGCCUGCAGUAGAAAGCUAUCAGACGGCAAAUAUGGAUAUUGACAAUGUCACGGACUCUGAAAAGAGUGCCUCUUCGUCUGCAUUGGAUGAUCAACUACUGUUUAAAAAAGUGGUAGUGGCAUCUCUUUUUUCACAGGCCAAGUGAAACUGAAUAGACAUAAAAUACUUUCUUGCUUUAGUUGGAAUCCUACCAGAGACAUCAACUGAUGUGUUGUUUAUUGCACUUUCAACAGGUCGUAAAGCCAAGUAGUGAAGUGGAGGAGGAAGAUGAUACAGACCAUAAAGCCCUCAUGGAAGGAUAUGUCAGUUCAUUUUCUACUCAUCAUGUUACUGUAUUUAUUAUCUUUUUUUUUUUGUCCUUACUCUAAUUGGGAUGUUUUGUUUUUUGCUGCAGAUCACAAUCACUCCACUCGGCGCGCUAUCCCGUACAGAGGUAGAUGCUGUGCCUUAUUUCGAAGGGUGGUUACACCGUCUAGCUGAUUAUGCGUCAUCAUCUUCUUUAUAAAAGGGUGCGCUCCCUCCUUAAGAAUAAGGUGAACUCUGUGGAUGAAUCUUUUCACUCUAUCCUGGUGGUCAACCUUCUGAAUUUAACUCUCCCUCCGAACUCUUCAGUGUCCUAUUGCAACCAUGCUGCGCCUUGACAUCCUGGGUUUAAAUCUGUGAAAUAGCCACUACUAGUUUAGAAGGUAUUUGUUUCAAUGAAAUGGCCGGGAUUGACUAGAGUUUCAUUACAAUUCAUGAGUUUUGCCGGUUGCUCUGGUGAACGUGGAGAAAGCAACAAAACUGGACUUACUCUGAAAUCUUAUCCCUUCGAUGUCAUGAAGUGUUUUUGUCCCCAUUUGGUCUGUAGUCACACUAGACGGGAAUUCUGAAUAACUAAAUUAACAUUAGCUCCAUUAAAGUUUACCCCUUGGAUCUUACUGUAAAUUCUGAGCGAACAACAACCAGGUGAAAAUGGUAUAGGCUUCUUCUAUGUUGACUUCCUCCGGUUGCACAGAAACAAAUGGCCCUCAUAAGGUCGCAUGCAUGUAAACCCUUUGCAGACCUCGUAGUGGCAGGGGCCUUGUGCAGUCUAAGGGCCUCAACUAGAUGCUAUAACUAGGUUCACAAAGUUCCUUUAAAUCUAAUGUUACAUAUGAAGGACUUGUUUCGAUCGGAUAUGACUAUACUAGUAUGCUAGUAUGCUUUAUAAGUAGUUGGCUAUCUCUUGAUAGUUUUUAAAGGCCACUUUUUUUUUUCGGUGCUUUUGACUUCUUAUCUCCUUAUUAAAGAAGUAUGAAGAUUGCCAUUCUUGUUCUUGACACUAUUUAGGAGGUACAUACAUAUAACAUCACUGACAUGAAUUACACUGUUACAUAUGAUUUGUCUGAUUUAUAACGAGCUGUUUAUAAGUCUGUAUGAAAUGAUCUGCUCGGUUGGUGCUUACUAACAAGAUUAUGCUUACAUAAUAUUCUCUUUACAGGAAGUUCCUUCCAUACUUGAGCUGCCCUGCGAACAUGUUUUCGCAAAGAAGGGGAAAUCAAUUACCUCAUUUUUCUCAGAAUCAACUGCUACCUGCGAUUCGCUAAAGCGAACAAUGCUUCAGACUCGUUCAUCCAAGUGAACCGCUAUUGUUGUGAUUCAGAGCUAUUGAUUCUUCUUUACUAGUAUUUUAUCAAGCAAUACGAACUUAAAUGGCUGAGCCUCUCAAUUGUCAUCUACAAUAACAGACAUUUGCUUUAGUUCAUUGAUGAAUCAAUUUCUGCUUGUCUCGCAUCGGUCGCUGCUGUAUUGAGGAACUCGCGGGACAGUUCAACUGCGUGUGUGAAUUACCCAACGCUCUGUAUUUUGCGUGUAUGCGAUAGUGCUCAAGUAGGAUUGUUUGGAGAAACCACAACAACUUUUUGUUAAAUACAAAAGUUGGAGACCACUGCUGUGGAAGUUUAUACCUUUAGGACAAUCGGUUGUUUCACAUGAUAUCAGAGCAAAAAAUUUUGAGUUCAGAGUCUUAUUAGGCACCUAAUCUUAAUUCCCAUUUGAUUCAAGUCCUUUCUUUGGACAAAAAGAAUAUGCCAAUCCUUCUCAAUUUAUAAAUCAUUAGAACCUUCUAAACCCAUAUUCGAACCUCCUAUGUAAAAUAGUAACAAAAUUAUGAAUCACCAUUCUGUAGAGUUGAGCAAUUUUUUUAAAAUUAAAAAAAAAAAAAAAACUGAACCGAAUCGAAUUAGAAGCAUGAGCUGAAUUGACCAAACUGAAGUGGAAUGGCGAGCAUUGGUUGGUUUGAUUUUUACAAUUUUUUAAAAACCGAACCGAACCGUAUUAGAAAAGCGUGAACUGAAUUGAGCAAACUGAAAUAGUUCCGACUUUUUGGUUCAGUUUAUUCGGUUUCGAUAAAAUAUUUUUGUUUGGUUUAAUUUUUUUUAAACUACUAAAAUUAAGAUAUUAUUAUAAGUAAUUUUACGUUACAAGAUAACAAUCUUAUAAUAAUAACAAUAAUUAAUAUCUCUAAUUUUUUAAUUAUAACUUAAAAUUAAAACUUAUUUUUUAAAUUUAGUACUAAUAUAUAGAGUCCAAGUACUCAUAAAUUUUCUACAUUAGAUCUACCUUUUUGACCAUUUCUAGUCAAUAGAUCAUACUAUUCGACCAACCACCCACCCCAGGGGACACUAUCAUCUUAAGCAUACGUUUCUUAAUAUAAGGGUGGAAAACCUAUAAGCACCAAUGACUUGUAUUUUUAAAAACACAGAAGCUCAAUUCAUAAUAUAUAUUAAAUUACAUGUCAAAUCGAAUUGAAUCGCAUUACUUAAAAUAAUCCCAAUCAAAUUUUACGUGAAACCAAAUUGAGCUUACUCAUUUCAGCGAUAAUUCAACUUGAAUUGAACAAUGCUCAACCCUAUCAUUCAAACUUAAAUUGGCCACUAUGUUACAACCACGUGAUAACAAAAGUUCUCGAUAGUUAGGUUAUUAACGGAAAUAAAUUAACUAUUUAACUAAUAGAUUUACAAUCUUUAAACUAAUUAUAUAUAUUUAGGCUAAACAUUGUAAGUUAUCUUGAAACAAAGGAGGACUAAACAAACCUUAUAUACCCGACCGUCCAUAGAGUAAGUGGCAAAGGACUUGGUGGUUGGUAGCCGAGACCCAAGUUCGAAUUUUAGUUGAUUCACAUUUCCAGCUAAGUUUAUUUCUAAAUGAAAUAAACGAAGCGAAUAGCAUGCUACCUUUCUCUCCAAAAAAAAAAAAAACAAACCUAAUAUAUAUAUUGAACAAUCUCUAUGAUAAGAUAGUCCCAUAAUCGUUUAUGGUGCUUUGAGAUUUGUACUAGUCCAUCGUAUCAAUGGUCGGUGAGAUUAACUCACCAUAAAAACUGUCCCUGCAAACUAAUUAUUCAUACAAAAAGUUUUUAUUCUUUAAUAAAGUUUUAGUAAUUUACAAUAAAUCUAUAUAUAGUUAGGGGUGGAAACGAGCCAAGCUCGAGCGAGCUUACCUCAGCUCAAAUUCGACUUGAAAUUAAUUUCGAGCCUAAAUUUAAGCUCAAGCUUGGUUUGAAAUUAAUUCGAGCCGAGCUUGAGCGAGCCUAAUUUCGAGUCGAGCGAGCUCGAGCCCUAAACGAGCCGCUUGAAAUUCUCAACAUCAUACGAUCAAUAGUUUAAUUUGUAUAGAACAUUAUCUAUAAUUUAAUACAAAAAUAUGUCUAAUAGUUCAAAGUACCAAAUAAUUAUAUGAAAUAUGGUAUUAUAAUAUAAAAAAUAAUAAUUUAUGAGUUGAAUAUCUAAUCUUUUCAGCCUCACAUGUCUUCUCUUCCGCCUUCAAUCUCCAUAUUAUUUAUUUUUAUUUAUGCGGUCAAAAAUAAAUAUUGGAUUAAGCUAUCCAAUCAUAUAUAACUAAAAUUAAAAUUUUAUAUAAAUAAUAAUUUUUUACUUUAAAAAUAUUCUGUAUAUUUUCUCAAGCAUACAAUUAAUAGUAAGGUAGGCAAUGAUGGACAUAUGCUGUUGCUUGGUAACUUGGAGAGCUUCCGGCUUAGCCACUAAAGGUGAGAGACAGAGAAAAAGAGAAAGAGAGAAACAUAUCGAAAAUUUAGAGCUCCGUGAAAGAAAGAAAGAAAGAAAGAGAAGAAGUAUAAAUUUAGUGAAAUUUUGCUCUUUAUUUAUUUGUCUAUUGGGUUUGUUUUUAUGGACCGACAACAUUGGCCAAAUUUUAACUAAACUCAGCUUAUUCGCUCAGCCUAUAUAUAAUUAAAAUAUAUUAUAUUUAUAUAUUUUUAAUAUAUAUAUAUAUAUAUAUAUAUAUAUAUAUAUAUAUAUAUAUAGAGCAGGGCUGCUGUGCUCUCAGGAGCACGUUGGCCUCCGUGCUCCUGAGCCGUUUUCGAUGAUGGAGUUUCCGAAUCGACGAUCGGCUCCAUUCAACUUGAUCUAGCAUAUUUGAAGUUUCUAGAAAAUAAUUUUUACGAUUUUUUGAUAUCAUUUACCUAGCAAUCGAAAGAAUUCAAAAUCAAUAAUUUUUAACGGCUGAAAAUAAAAAUUUUAUAAAAAGUGUUGAUAUAGCACUAAAAUUUUCGAUCAGAAAUAUUGAUCUUGUUAUAGAUAGUAUAAAAAAUUUUGUAUCAAAAUUUCAUCUGAUUUGAAUACUUCUACAUCGUUAAACUUGAAAACAGUAGAUAUUAACCAUUAAAAAUUAUGGAUUUUGAAUCCUUUCGAUCACUAGGUAAAUGAUAUCAAAAAAUCGCAAAAAUUAUUUUCUAGAAACUUCAAAUGCGCUAGAUAAUCUUAACGGAUAGCCGAUCAGUCGAUCUCAAAAAUUCUAUCAUUGAAAAUGGCUCAGGAGCACAGAGGCCUCCGUGCUCGCCGAGAGCACAGCAGCCCCGCUCUAUAUAUAUAUAUAUAUAUAUAUAUAUAUAUAUAAUAUAUAUAUAUAUAAUAUUAUAAGUGUAGAACUAUUAUGCUAUCAAAUAUAGAGGAUUUGAUGCUUCCGAAUUUUUGACCCUUUGAUUAAGAAUUGUACGGUUGGGAUGAUUGCGGUCCCUAAGAGUUAAAUAAUACCCUUGGUGAGUCGUCCUAACAAGGUAAUAAUAAUAUUAAUCCAAAGGUAAGAAAUGGUUAAAGGGGUUGAUCUAAGAAUCAAAAAAUCAGAAGCACCAGAUCUCUAUACUUU
rnacentral:lncRNA from 1 species